AUCCCAUUGGCUUUACUCUUUUUGCAAUGAGGAAAUAGUGUUUAUAUUUCAAGGUUUUCUUGUAUGCGAUUUCGACUUGGUUUAGCUAUUUACUCUGAUAAACAUAAACCAACGUCAUAAAGCUUUUUUCAAAACUGUUUCGUGUUUUAUUUUUCUUCUGCACUUAGCUAUACAGACCAAGCGUAAUAGCAACAUCCAGUGCCGUGCCAAGGAUUUUAAGUGCUUAGACAAAUUUUUAAAAUAAAUUUAUAUACAACUAUAAUGAAAACAAUUUUCUAAUACGAUUCGUCAAAUAUAAAAGUUUAACACUUACAAAAAUAAAUUUAUUAGGUAAAUAUGCUAUAUUAUAUCAUAUAAAAAAUACAUAGAUUUAUAAAAUGAGUUACUCGAUUCUCGUAAAAAAAGUUUUUUAGAAAAUAUUUCUUCCAUUUCAGAUUAAUUGUGGUUGUAAGGUAAAAUUUUUGUUUCAAAAUAAGUGUCGUUUCAUAAUUUCAAUGCAAAAUUUAUUAAUUUUUUAUUUCAAUCUAUUCUUCUAUUGGUUGAAAUUUGGUUAGAUGUAUUGGUAAUGAUGUUUUAUAUAGUAAAUAUACAAAAUUAAAUAUUUUUUUAAUCUGUGUGUCUAAGUCUAAAAUGACAAUUAAAAUGAAACGAAUGGAAUAAAUCUAAGCAACUAGACUAUAAAUUAUUUUAAAUUUUGGGACCCUAAAAAAAAUAUUAUUCAGGGACAUAAAACAAAUGCAUUUUUCAAUAUAUUGUAGGCACACCUGUUGCAACAUUGAGUUAGGCUUGAAGUUUCGUCGAUGACUGAGAUUGAACAAAUGUUUGUGUAAAAAUCACAUUAGUUCGGAAUAAUUUUUUUUUGGAACACAUAUUUUGGGAAUAAAUUAUUUUCUGAAAAAUUAUAGUCUAUAGACAUUAGGCCUCGAAAUUUUAACUUAAACCCGAAAACCCAAACCGGAACCGAUCUGAAAAUACCCGACCCGAAACCGAACCGAAAAUUUACAAGUACUUUUUGGGUCUAAAUUUCUUUUACCCGAAAGAACUGGAACCGAUAGGAACCGACCCGAAUAGAUCCGAUCCGAUAAGAACCGCCUGAAUAGACCCGACCCGAUAAGAACCGAUCUGUACCCGACUUAAAAACAAACUAUUAUUUUUUGUGUUCUAUUUUAUAUUUAUUAUUUUAUGAUUUAGUUGAAAUAUCUUCUGUUAACAACAUUUGUUAUUAUUUUGUAACAUUUAUAAGUAAUAAGAAGCUUUAAAAUGUAAAAUUUAGAGUUUCAAAAUGUUUUAUUUUAAUUAUUAAUAGUUUUAUUUAAGUUAUUUUGUAAAAUUUUAGAUAUAUGACAAAUAUUGACUAAAUUUGAUGGAGUUUGAUAUGUCAUGUCAUUUUCAGAUCCUAAAUAGCCGAAACCAACCCGGACUCGAUAUAGACCAAAAAUUACGGGUAUUUUAAUUAUAAACCCGAACAGAUCCAGACCCGAGAAGAACCGACCCGAACCCGAACCAAAAAUUUAUAAGUACUUACUGGCUCCAAAUGUUUAGGAUCCGAAAAGAACCGGUCUAAACCCGAUCCAAAGAACCGAACGUCCAUGUCUAAUUAGCCAUUAUAUCAAAAAUAGGAAAAGUAAGAUUAAAGAAGAAGAGAAUGGGGGAAGAGAUAUGUUAAACGAGCUGUACCAAUACAAACCGGUAAGCCCAAUUCUUGGCCCAUAUCAAUACCACAUCGUCUCCUUCGCCGCGCAAUGUUACGUGUCAAAUCUUCUUAGAGUUACGAUCUGAAUCCGAUCGCUGCUGUAGAAUCAGUUUCGUGCUCCGCAGAUUCUCGAGCUUCCUCUCUCUCACUUGAGGUAGUCUCCGCUCUCUAACCAUUUAUCAAAAUUGAUCUCAGUUUAGAAUUCUGUUAAACUCAUAUUCAACGAUGAUUGAUCCAGAUCUUUCCGAGCUCCAGAAGAAGGUCGGAGAGAGAGUUUCUGUUAUACGUUUCUUGAUCUGAAUCAUAGUAGACGAUCUUCUUGAGAAAGAGACGAAAGGUCUUUGCGGAAGUUGCCAGUUUUGAAUUUGAAGUUAAACUACCGAUUCUAGAUGAGGUCUAGGUAGAAUCUAGGAUUGUAAUUGAUCUGCUCCCUUUGCUUUGUUUGCCUAUAUCUUCAUCAAACAGUUUCAGGUGUUAAGCAAUAAUGAAUACGGAGAAUCGGAAUUUUCCAGCUAGGCCUCCUCCUCCUCCGUCCUCCUCCUCUCCAUUCGCAUCUGCUCCGCCGCCAGGUGUUCCACCUCAAUCCGGUGGACCAGAGGCGGUUGGCUUUAGACCACCUGCAAGGCCUUUCACACCUCCUGGUCCUCCUAUGGCUCCACCAGCGGGUGUGAUGAGGCCUGGCCAACGUCCUUUGGUUUCUCAGCUUCCAGGGAGUAGACCUCCACCGCCAUCGUUUCCUUCAACAGCUUAUGGUCCUCCUGGUGGUGGUGGUUCUUUUCAGCGGUUUCCAGCUCCUCCUCCUCCAUUCCCGGCUACACAAAACCCUCCUCCUAGUGGGCCACCACCACCUCAAACUCUUGCAGGUCACUUAUCGCCUCCAUUGUCUUUUCGCCCACAGCAACCAAUGGGACCUCCUCCACCGAGUAUGACUUCUGGAUUACCUGGAGGGUUUGCUUCUCCCCCUGGUCCUGGUUUUCAACAGUCCAUGCCUGGUGGUCCACAGCCAUCUUAUCCUGGUUAUUCCAGCAAUCAGGUCUUACAGGGCCCUCCAAAGCCGUUCCAGUCUCCAUCUCAGGGUCCUCCGUCUGCAGUCUCAUCGUACCCUCCUCAGACAGGAGGUUUUGCUCAGCACCCAGGACAGCAGAAUAUGCAUCCAAGCUAUGCGCCUCCUCCUACCAGUAACGUCCAAGGCUUGGUUGAAGAUUUCAAUUCGCUGUCCCUUUCAAAUAUUCCGGGGUCGCUUGAGCCAGGACUUGAUCAUACCUCAUUUCCAAGGCCAUUGGAUGGCGACGUGGAGCCGAGUUCGUUUGCUGAAGCGCACCCUAUGAAUUGCCAUUCUAGAUAUCUACGGCUGACAACUAGUGCGAUUCCAAAUUCCCAGUCUCUGGCGUCGAGGUGGCAUUUGCCUCUAGGAGCUGUUGUUUGUCCACUUGCUGAGGCUCCUGAAGGGGUUAGUAUUUGCCAAACUAAUAAUCAAGUCUUUGAAGUUCUUUCAUGUUUUGAUAAUCUGGAACUCUUCACGUGCUAUAUAUGAGCAUAUAACUUUUCCCUUAUUUUGAACAUUGUCGUUUUUAUCUGUUCAGGAGGAAGUACCACUAAUUGAUUUUGGCUCAAGUGGCAUCAUCCGCUGCAGAAGAUGCCGUACCUAUGUGAAUCCUUAUGUUACUUUUACAGAUUCUGGAAGAAAGUGGCGGUGUAAUAUUUGUUCUAUGCUUAAUGAUGGUAAUUUUCUGAAUCCUCAGGAUUAGUUUUGUUAACCAAAGUGGUAUAGAACGCCGUUGUUAAUUGAAUACGCCUUGUCCAAUGGUCAUGCAGUUUCUUUCUCUUUGAUUUUUCUUAAUGGUUAGUUUUUUCAAGUUGUGUUUGUCUAAUCCGCGUGAGUAGAAUUAUCGUAAAUGGAUCUCGUUAAAAGCUACAAGGAACUGUUUUGGUGUUGUGUAUACUUUUUCUAUUGUGGUGGAAUGUCAUCCUUGUACAUCUGCUAUGAAUUUUUUUCAUUCACUGGAAUGUCCUUUUACUUUCCAUAGAGUGAUGGCUCUGUGUUCAGUACUUUAAGACAUAUGCUUAUAAUAUGAAUAAUAAUGGUUAUGACUAAAUUCUUGUUCAGUGCCUGGUGAGUAUUUCUCACAUUUAGAUGCUACUGGCCGAAGAAUGGACAUGGAUCAACGUCCUGAGCUGACAAAGGGAAGUGUUGAAAUCAUUGCUCCAACAGAAUACAUGGUUCGGCCUCCGAUGCCACCAAUCUACUUCUUCCUCAUUGAUGUUUCAUUUUCUGCAACUAAAAGUGGGAUGCUUGAGGUAAGCAUGUUGGAUUUUAAUAUUCCACCUUGUAAUUUUGUUGCAUUAGCAUUAUUCUUCUUUAGUUGGUACGAACCAAUCAAUACCUGCUUUUAUCUGAAUACACUACGUGUCAAUGGAUCUAGACUAGAUUAGACCUGCUCUCGCCUUUAGAGGUAUGCUGUAAAAUUUAGAUCUUAUGCUGGCCUUUUUUCUCCUUUGGCAGGUUGCUACUCAAACGAUUAAGUCAUGUUUGGAUAACCUGCCUGGUUAUCCCAGAACACAAAUUGGAUUUAUUACUUAUGACAGCACUUUACAUUUUUACAACAUGAAGGUAACAGAAAUACGUAGGAAUUUUUGUUCUGAAAUACUUAAGCGUUUAUCAUAUAUUAUUUUUGGGCCUUGGCAAUGCAGUCAUCUUUGAGCCAGCCGCAAAUGAUGGUCGUUUCUGAUCUAGAUGAUAUAUUUGUCCCAUUGCCGGAUGAUCUCCUUGUCAAUCUAUCUGAGUCUAGAAAUGUAGUGGAAGCCUUUUUGGACAGUCUGCCUCUGAUGUUUCACGAUAAUGUCAAUGUGGAAUCGGCUUUUGGUCCAGCCCUCAAAGCGGCGUACAUGGUUAUGGUUAGUUACUAUGCUGCCAUGAAUGAAAAUCAAAUAAUUCAUUUGAUCUGAGAGUCUUAUAUGGAACCUCAUCAGGAAUUUGUAUCAGUUUGGAGUUGACUCUGUUUUCUCUCUCUCUCUAUUUCAGAAUCAACUUGGUGGCAAGUUGCUAAUUUUCCAGAACUCGUUACCUUCUCUUGGUGUUGGGCGGUUAAAGUUGCGCGGAGAUGAUCCUCGUGUCUAUGGAACUGACAAAGAAUAUACUCUAAGAGUAGCUGAAGACACCUUCUAUAAGCAAAUGGCUGCCGAUUGUACCAAGUUUCAGAUAGGAAUUAAUGUUUAUGCGUUCAGUGAUAAGUACACUGAUAUUGCCUCAUUAGGUACGUGAACGUUACAGUUAUUACUGGUUUUUUCUUUCAAGGGUGUGGAGUCAAUAUGUAACUAAUGGUGCCGUCUUCCCCCUGUUAAGUAUUGCUGUUUUAAGUGCGGAGGCUUUAUUAGUUUAUGUAGUAAAAUGCAUUGGUUUGUGUAGGGACUCUGGCAAAAUACACUGGAGGACAGGUGUACUACUAUCCAGGCUUCCAAUCGUCUAUCCAUGGAGAUAAGUUAAGACACGAGCUGGCUAGAGACCUUACAAGGGAAACUGCGUGGGAAUCCGUUAUGCGAAUAAGAUGUGGAAAAGGUUUAACAGUUUAUGAUACAAUAUUCAUUUGUGUUACCUGUUAUGUCACUAAAGAUUUGUUAAUUCGUUGGUAUGCUACAUGUGAUCUUAUAUAUUUGGGCAUGCAGGAAUUCGUUUCUCGUCCUACCAUGGGAACUUCAUGCUAAGGUCUACUGACCUGCUUGCUCUUCCUGCUGUUGACUGUGACAAAGCAUACGCAAUGCAGCUAACUCUGGAAGAGACAUUGCUAACAACCCCGACGGUGUAUUUCCAAGUCGCUUUACUGUAUCCUUGAAUAGUUGAUAUUUAAACCACAUUUUGUUUGAUUUUUAGCUGGUACACAUCAUUUGGUUUUGGUAAUCCUUGACAAAACUAAAGAUACACUGCUUCUUGCGGAGAGAGGCGUAUAAGGGUACACACAGCUGUUGCACCAGUGGUUACAGAUCUUGGAGAGAUGUAUAGACAAGCAGACACCGGUUCCAUUGUCUCUGUAUAUUCUAGAUUAGGUGCGAUACAUUUCAAUUCUUCCCAGUAGCAUCAAUGUUACUUUGGAUUCUAUUUCAUGGCCGUUUUAAUUCUGCAGCAAUUGAGAAAACUUUAUCCUCAAAAUUGGAUGAUGCACGGAAUGUCAUACAGCAAAAGAUUGUUAAAGCUCUCAGAGAGUAUCGUAAUCUUAACGCGGUGCAGCAUCGGUUGGGGUCUAGACUAAUAUACCCAGAGUCUCUGAAGUUCUUGCCACUUUACGGAUUGGCAAUUGGUAAGUCCACUCCUCUUCAAGGUGGACCUGCUGAUGCUUCACUUGACGAGCGCUGUGCGGCGGGCUUCACCAUGAUGGCUCUGCCUGUCAAAAAGCUAUUGAAGCUGUUAUAUCCCAGUUUAUUCCGUGUUGAUGAGUGGCUCUUAAAGGUUUGUGCAUCUUUAUCUCAAUGUACAUUAUCAAACAUCUUUUCCGAGAAUUUUUAAAUCAUUUAUGAAUUCACAUGUUUGCAGCCAUCAGCGGACCUUGAUGACCUUAAGGACGUAGUAAGGAGAUUGCCUCUGGCUGCAGAGAGUUUGGAUUCUAGAGGCCUUUACAUAUAUGAUGAUGGUUUUCGAUUGGUUUUGUGGUUUGGCCGAAUGCUUUCACCUGACAUUGCUAAAAAUCUUCUUGGGUCUGACUUUGCAGCAGAGCUCUCAAGGGUAUGCUCUUUUAAUCUACAUGCAUCUUUCUUUACAUAUGAACGGAUAUGAAAUGCAAUUAUUUUAUCUAAAUGCUUUUUUCAAGUAUCUGGUAACAUCACAGUAUGUGUGUCUUUCUUAUUUGUGGGACUUUAGGUUACACUGCAAGAGCAAGAGAAUGGGAUGUCGAAGAAGCUAACGAGGCUGAUAAAGAAAGUGAGGGAGAAUGAUCCGUCAUAUCACCCCAUGUGUUUCCUAGUGAGGCAAGGAGAACAACCCCGAGAAGGCUUCCUUCUUCUCCGACAUCUCAUUGAAGACCAGAUGGGCGGUUCGACUAGUUAUGUUGAUUGGAUUCUGCAACUUCACCGCCAAAUCCAACAAAAUGCGUAAUAGUAUCACAAUGGUAAGAAACCUUCACAUUCAUUACAUGCGUAGUGUCUUAAGGUCACAUGUUCAACGCUUCUUUUUUUCUUUUCCAGGCAACUUGGUUGACUGAAUGCGCGCGCCUCUCUGGACCAUUAAAGAAACACCCAUGAGCUCAAAGUCUUCUUCUUAAAGCAGUUUAUUGGUAUCACAGGCAGAAGUUUCAGGAUCAUUGCGGUCUCUGCUUCUUGGGCAUAAUGUUGUUGUUUUGGAAAAUUACAGAAGCACACUACCCUUUGACAUUUUUUUUUUUUCAUUUGUUUUCUAUAGAACUUUUCUCAAGUGCUGGCUUUGAUUCGCCUAUAACCUGAAUGGUUGUCUAAAGAUUAGACGUUUUUGUUUUUCUUCUGUUGCCAUACCUUUUCGCUAUUCAAAUUUUCUUGUGCGUCUGUACCAGAUUUGUUUUGGGAGUUAACAAUCUGUCUUUAAUCAGGGAUAUUAACAAUAGUAUUGUCUUGAUGAAGGUGACUACAUAUAAUAUAACAAACUAUACAAUGGCAAUCAAUAAGCAAAAAUGAAAUGGUGUUGAUAUGAAUACGAGUGAAACAAUCUGUUAUCCUUGUAAAUUGAUGUUGUCUAAUCCUUUCAUCAUGUUUGAGAAAAAAGACCAUUGAUAAUGAAUUUAAUUUAACAGUUCAAAGAAAAAAGAAGACCAUUCUGAAACGUUUUUUUCAAGUAUUCUGGUCGGUUCGAAUCGGCCCGUUUGGUUUAGGAGAGUACACGUGUCAAUAUCUGAGUGGGUCGUACUUUCUAGAACGGUAUGGAAAAAGUCCGCGUCGCUUAUACGACGCCGUGUUGGAAUCUCGGUCGCUUGCUUUUAUAAACAAACCUCUCUGUUACUUAUCGUCUCAGAUUUAAAAGCAUAUCGAAUUGUAUUCCGAGCUUGCUGGAGGAAGAAAGAGCAUCGAUUUACAUUCGUUCGUUAUCGUAAGUUAUCUCUCCCUCCUUCGUUAAUCACAAAUCUAUUUUACCAAUUACAUGUUCCCGAUUUAGCAUUCGUGGUCUCUCGAUUUGGAUUUAUCUAUUUGCGGGCACUCCUUUUUUUUUUAUAGUUGUUUCUGGAUUUUGAUAUUCGGAAAAUUCUUGAAUCCUAGAUCUGUUCGAUUGAAAAAUCUCGUGCGGGAGUAUUGAUUUCGAGAUUUCUAAUUUUCUUUCCAGGCAGUUAAGUUGUUUAGAGCCUUGUGUUCGAGAAUGUCUGAGGUAUGAUUCUCUUUUUGUUUUCAUCUCUCUUUUGAAGUUAAUUGCUUGUUGAUUAGUUUGGUUGAAUUGGUGAAAUAUAUAUAACAUGGCAGGAAGCGCAUAAGGUUACGUUGAAUGUCUAUGAUCUAAGCCGAGGCUUGGCACGCCAGCUCUCUGCUUCAUUUCUGGGAAAGGUUAUCGAAGGUGUCUGGUGAGUUCUUUCUCUCCUAUACAUGAUAUCAUUACAAGUUACAAGAAAGCUGAAAGUCUUAACCUUUUAGCUCGACAGUGUUGCAUUACUAAAUCAUGUUAUAAUUGGAAUGUUUGUAUGUAUGCGUGAAGAAAGAUUUUGAUAUUAACCGUCAUGCUUUUGUAUCAUUUCCGUAUAUUAUUUUCUUUCAUUCACUUGUAAUCUGGUAUAGUAAACAUUUGAGCUAUGUAUCCCUUUCUCAGGCAUACGGGAAUAGUUGUGUAUGGGAGUGAGUACUUUUUCGGAGGAGGAAUCCAGCAUUUGCCUGCUGGAACCACCCCAUAUGGAGCACCGCUGCGAACCGUAGAGCUGGGUGAGACACAUGUUCCUAAAGACGUGUUCGAGAUGUACUUGGAGGAGAUCAGUCCACGUUACACUGCUGAAUCCUACAAUCUGCUUGCUCACAACUGCAACAACUUCAGCAACGAGGUAGCUCAGUUUCUGGUUGGUAAAGGGAUUCCAGACUACAUUCUUCAGCUUCCCAACGAGGUCAUGAACAGCCCCAUGGGUGGUCUUAUAAGUAAGUAGCUUAUACCUUGCAAUCUGUUUUGCUUUUAGCUCGUAUCUGAUCUAGUUUCAUCUCCUCGUUUGCAGUGCCUAUGAUUCAAAACCUGGAGACAACUCUAAGAGCCGGCGCUGUUCCUAACGCUCCCCAGUUUAGGCCUCAGACACAACCUCUUGGAGCUUUUAGCAAGGAUGAAGGUCCAAAACUACCCAACAAACCUGAGAAAGCGCCCAAGUCUGAGGAUGUCAAAACCUCAGCUCCAACUGAAAAGGUGUCACCGGUUGCUCAAGCUUCUUCUAGUAAGGAGAAGGUGAAGGAGGAUCCACUGGGUGAUGCUAGGAGCAAGAUUCAGGAAGAGAUCACCCGUGAGUUUGCAGCUCUCAUGGCGGAAGGCACACUAAGAGCAAGUGAAGCAGCCGCUAUGGCGACAAAGAGAGUGAUGCAAAAGUAUGGACAUCUCAAUGUAUCUGCCUAGAGUCUAAUAAAACAAGAUUAAACCAUUUACUUUGCUACUGUAUUGAAACUGAGUCAAAUAAUUUUGAACGAUUUUUAUUACUAUUUUUUCAACUAUAUUCGUAUAUCGACCUUCAACGAUUUACAGAUUAAAAAAUCAGAAAAUAAAAGAGUAAAGAGAUAUAAGCAUCGUGGCAGUUAGGACACUAGUGUCUCUGAAGAAUCUACUCCUAUGCUAUCAGACACAACCUGAGGAGGAUCUGUGAACGAUGUUCCAGGUUCUAACUCAAUAAUAGAUGUCUCUUUGGAUCUGUAAAACAUCUCUAGUGGAAUAUUGAUGCCUGCAAAGCCAACCAUUACAGCUACAGCACCAAUGAAGUCGGUGAAGCUUGGUUUGUUCCCCGAUAAGCUGUCUACAAUCGCUGCCAAUGGAACCUGAAUGGUCAGCCCAGCCGAUGCCACCGUGGUCGCUGUCAAAAGCACAGCCUUUGCCCAAAGGUAGUCACUGAGUACAUUAUCUAACAAACCUGAAAACGCUAAACUACACAUCAUUCAAAACAACAUCCCAACAUCAACUCCAAAGAUUAACUUGACCUUAUAUACCUUUGCCAACCACCAGACCCAACUGUUUCGAGGUCAGUGCGUUGAACCGUUCUCUCUUUGUGAAGUUGAGUAUCAGAGCACCAGGUAAGAAAAUAAAGAAGUUGAAGAGACCUAGAAACCCAAGAAGCUGAGCCAUACUAAACCGGCCGCUACCUUCAUCAUCAUCAGGAAGAUUUUUGCGUAUAAGAGUGAUGUAAACAGCGUAAAACACCGCCGAGAUCAGAGAAAGAACAUCUCCAAGAAGAGGGUUCUUAGCCGUUGCAGUUGAGUUGGACUCCGAGUCUCCCAGACUCACAAUAAUGGUCCCAGACAUACAAAGAAGAACGCUGAUGAGCUUCAACCACGUGAACUUCUCUCCCAAGAAUAUUAGUGAUACCAGAAACGUGAAUAGGCUUGAUGAGCUGCUUAAGAUAGUAUUCGACUGCAAGCAAAUUCACACAAAAAUGAAAAAAAAACAAAAAGUCUUGCUAACUUUAGCAACACGCAUGCAUCCGUGUCCAACACUCAUUCACACAAAAGCAAAGUUCUUUUUACCGUAACGGUCGUGUACUUGAGAGAGAGAUUGAAAGUAAGCUGCGCCAAGAACCAAAACGGACAUAUCACAAGGCUUACUUUAGCAACACGCAACCUCGUCCAACGUCCCUUCUCAUCUAACCCUUUCCCACCACUACCAACCUCAAGCUCUAAACUUUCCAAUCUAUCUGACUUCACACCACCCUGACCAAGCAAAACAGCCUUGUCUGAUUCGACCAGUUCGAGCAAAUGAGACCUUUUGUUUCUCCAAAACAUUAAACUUCCGUACGAAUCUUCGAGGUACCGACCGAUCUCGAAGAGAGGAAGGUAAACGACGAAGAGAGAGUUACAAAUGAAAGUGAUCAAGAAGGGAGAGACCCCUGCGUCCACCACGGACUGGACUACGAAGCUGGCCGCGAUCCAAAUCGUGGCGACGGCGAAUAUGUAUAUAAGACCUAACACCCAUCUCCAUGCCUUACGUGACAUGUCUCUUUGAUUGCCAAUUAGUGAGGGAAUAAAUAAACUCGAGCUCACAGAUCUCUCACCCUAUCAAGAUCAAUGAUAAGAUCCUUACAAAGAGAAAAAAAUUCUCAGGGAUACAAAGAACGACAACGAGUCGAUAAAGAUCUAUCAAAACCAUGUGAAUAUGAAUGGCGGUUCGAUUAGAGAUCGGUGUGAAGUUGCUCGAUCUAUCAAUGACUAUUCAAAGUGGAAUCAGAGAGCCAACGCAAACGAGAUAGCUAGAGAGAAUGUUUGGCGAAUGUUUUUACUUCACAAUUUGGGCUUUCUUAUCAGGCCCAACUUGAGAUUUCUUAUUAGUCCAAUCAGGUUUAAGGCCGAUUGAGAUAACCUUUGUUUCAAGUUUUUUUGUCGUCGUUGUUGUUGUUGUUUUUUUCUUAAAAUCCAAGUAUUUCGGAUAUGAAGAUUCUACUAAUCCCGGAAGCAAAGAGACAAACCAUGUAAAAUACUCCAUGCUCCACAUGUGCGCAGUUUAUUUGAGUAAUAAGUUUCGAAUCCGGCGUAUUUACUAUUAGACACAAAGUGUCCCACAUCGGAUGUUGCAAGAAAUCUUUAGUAAUAUAUAAGAUAGAUGACCACUCCACUUAUCACUAAUUGAUUUUAGAUUGAAAUCUCAUCUAGCUUAACAUGGUAUCAGAGUCUGGUCCACGCAGUCCAACCCGAUCCACAUCGAUCUAGCCCAAAGUUGGUCCAUCAAUCCUUGCCCGAGCAUUCCGAGAUUAACGUUCAAAGAGCCAUCAUUUCGAGGGGGCGUAUUAGACAAAAAGUGUCCCACAUCGGAUGUUGGAAGGGAUUCUUAGUAAUAUAUAAGAUAGAAGGAUCACUCCACUUAUCACCAAUUGGUUUUAGUAGGCCUGGGCGUUCGGGCACCCGUUGGCGUUCGGAUCGGAUAUUUCGGAUUUCGGUUUUUUAUAUAUCACCUCAUAGGUCCCAUUCUAGUAAUUUUCUAACUACGGGUCGGGAUCGGAUAUAACACCUCGGUUUCGGGUCGGUUUUGUAUCACAUUUGAAAACCCAUAAAGUAACCAUAUAUUAUUUGGGUUCGGAUUUUUUUGGAUCGGUUCGGGUUAUACCGAAGUAAAAGACAAAAAAAACAAUAAAUAAAAAGAAACACAUAACUGAAUGUGUGAAACUGAAUGCAAAGGUUUUUAAAACAGAAAAUAGCAACAUCCUAAAACGCAUCAACACUGAAAAUAGCAACAUUUAAAAGUUUUGAAGCAGAAGACUUAAAAGAAACAACAAACAUAAACUGAAACACACACACGUAAAUGAGAGACAUUGGAACAAUCUUGAGCUUAGGAGUACUUGACAAUCAUGAUGUGGAACGUUCUACUCCUGCCAAAAGAAAAACGUAAAUGUUAAGCUAAAAAAACUGAAACAGAAGCAAAUCAUUAUAAACCAAAAGGUGUUUAGUGCAAUACCUUAGAAACGAAGAGGCUCUUGAUGUCAUAUAGCAAAUUCUGAUGCAAGACAGAACAAAUCAAAUCAGUAAAGAAAAAAAAUUUAAAUCUAAAAGUUACAAGAGAGAUGACAUACCUCUCUCAAUCUUUUCUUGUUCUUCAAUGUCUUCAAUGAUUUCUGCAUUAGUAAGCACUCUUGACUCGCAAGAAAUGUCUUGCUUAAGCCAUUGUUCAGUACACAUCAAUACCUCAAUCAUGAAGUGAGUAAGACAACUUCGAGAUGGGCUUAUGAUCCUUCCACCCGUACUGAAGGCACUCUCGGAUGCAACAGAAGAAACCUGCAUUGCAAGGACAUCCUUUGCAACCCGUGACAAAAUUGGGAACUUGGUACAAUUUCGCUUCCAAAACGAGAGCACAUCAUACUCUAAACCAGCCAUAAUAUCUGGAUUCUCAACUCCUUCUUUCAAGUAUAUAUCCAGCUCAUCCCGAUAAAAAUUUAAAUCUAAAAGUUACAAGAGAGAUGACAUACCUCUCUCAAUCUUUUCUUGUUCUUCAAUGUCUUCAAUGAUUUCUGCAUUAGUAAGCACUCUUGACUCGCAAGAAAUGUCUUGCUUAAGCCAUUGUUCAGUACACAUCAAUACCUCAAUCAUGAAGUGAGUAAGACAACUUCGAGAUGGGCUUAUGAUCCUUCCACCCGUACUGAAGGCACUCUCGGAUGCAACAGAAGAAACCUGCAUUGCAAGGACAUCCUUUGCAACCCGUGACAAAAUUGGGAACUUGGUACAAUUUCGCUUCCAAAACGAGAGCACAUCAUACUCUAAACCAGCCAUAAUAUCUGGAUUCUCAACUCCUUCUUUCAAGUAUAUAUCCAGCUCAUCCCGAUUAUCUUUUACUCCAAUCUCAUUAAGCAUCUCCUUGUACCUUCGACCAAUUCGCUUGUAACCUAGACCAUCAUCAUGUAAAUCCGUACCAAUCAUGCUCAGUUCUCGACUACAAGGAGUGGAUCUACUGUUGUUAGUUUUAGCUUCAUCAGAUUUCCCACCGGCUUCCUUCCCAUAUCUUGCACUAUACUCUUUAAAUAAACUGCGCAAAACAGACAUCACCGAAUCAUACAUUGCUUUCCCUUCCAAACUGUCUUUCCCGUAGAGCUCAUCAAAACACAAGCUUGCCAGCACCAUCUUCUUUGUUGGAUCAAAAACUGUUGCCACAAUUAACAUCUUGUUGAUGUUCUUCAGCCCAUCCCAGUACUUGUCAAACUUUUUGAACAUCUCCUCAGCCUUAUCCUUCAGCUCAUGAUCUGUGCUUUCACUUAACGCCAGAAGGUUGGUGGCUAUGUUCACAAUCUCCUCGUAACACUUGUGAGCAUUGAGAGAUGUUGACGCAGACACAACUAGUGUAGAGUUGUAGAAGAUCACCAAGAAACGACCUAGUCUUUCGAUUGCUUUCCAGUCAGCGUAUUGAGGAGGUCCCACUCUCUUCUUUCCUUUAUCCCCCACCUCCAUAAAAUAAUCGUUGUAGAGUUUAUCCUCUGUCUCCAUCUUGUCAAACGCAACUCUAAACUUCAAACCUGUACUCAACAUUAGGUAAGUGGAGUUCCACCUAGUAGUAACAUCUAAAGGCAAGCUUCCCCUAGUCAUUCUACCAGAUUCUACUUUCUGCUCAAAGGAUAUCAACCUAUUUCCUGAACCUCUAACAUAGACUACAGCAUUACGGACUGCAUCCACACUCUCAUUAGCAUCAGUCAAUCCGUCCUUCACAAUCAAGUUGAUGAUGUGUGCACUACAUCUCAUAUGCAACCAUUCUCCAUCUAAAACUAGUGCAUCAUCAGACACUAAAGAGAACUGGCCAUGAAAUCUUCUCAAGGCGGAUGAAUUAGCAGUUGCAUUGUCAACAGUUACGCAAAAUAUUUUCUCAAUUCCCCAAUCAGCCAAGACAUCUAAAAGAACCCUAGAGAUUGUCUGACCUUUGUGAUCACUGACAUGUUUGAACCCUACGAUAAGCUUCUUCAGUCGCCAACACUCAUCAAUGUAAUGCGCAGUCACCACCAUGUAACUUGCCCCUGUAAACAAUAAUAAGCAUGCCAACACGUUAGCUAUAAGCACCCAAAUAUCAGUACAUACUCAUUUAAUUUAAGAUUCAAAAUGCUUACGGGUUAUUUUAGCCUCCCAAAUAUCAGUAGUCAGAGAUACUCUUUGCUUGUUUGCUUCAAACCACUUUUUCAUAGCAGCCUUCCUCUGCAAGUACAUCUUUACAAUCUCCCUUGUUGAGGUCCUCCUUGACACAGGUUUGUCUAAUUUCAUCUGCACAGAUAAAAAAAAAAUUAUAUAAAAGAAGUCAAAACUAGUACAAUAAACUAAAGAAUUAAACAAGUAGAUACCUUGUUACAGAAGUGUUUCCAAGCCACACUUUCUACCCAACAUAAUGGUAACUCCCCUAUCACCAUCAUCUCAUUCGUUGCUUCUUUGAAAGUUUCUUCACUGACUUUUGCAGACAUCACAUUCCCUUCUUCAUCUAUGACUUGCUGAGUUGAACUUUGGCCAUCUGAAUACGAGUAGAACUGUUUGCAUAUGCUGAUAUGCUUCAGCAAGUUUGAAGUUCCCGAUUUUGUUUUACAACAAAACUUCUUCUUGCAGUAAUGACAAAUACAUUUGUCACGGUUCUCCUUCGUCCUUGUGUAAUGGUUCCAGAUUUUGGACCUUGGAGGAAGAAUCCUGGGAGCUUUAUUGGCUCCAUUGGCUGUAGGAGAUUCUUUACGUUUGCCUCUACUAUCUGGAGUAGCCAAUUCUUGUUCUUCUUCGUCCUCUACGUCUUUGUUGUUGUCAAACGAAACUCGGUUUGGAGUUGAUGAAGAAUCCAUCUGUGACAGCUUAAAUGGAACCAUUAUCAGACAAUUAUCCAUCUCAGACAAGUCAAAUUGAAGUAAUUGGAACACUAAACAAUCAUCACAGACACAAACUGGUUAAAUAGAACCGUAAACCAUCAUCAACUACACGAAACCCUACAUAACCCUUAAAUCGCAAAACAGAACAAAUGGAGACAUACCUGAGAGCGAUUUCGAGAAAUCGCAGAUGGUGGAGAUAGAGAGAAUUCCCAAUUUCGGUUUUGAAACAUGAGUCCCUUCGAUCAACUCUCUUUGAUUUAUAUGGAAUUAGAGUUUUCUCAAGAUUAAGAAGACGAGGAAUCGCCUAGCGUGAGAAAAGCAAAACUUGGAAACAUAAACAAUUAAUGUUACGCGUGUUUUGGUUUAAAGGAGAGUAUAUACAUAUAUAUUACUAUAUGUAUACAUAAGUCUGGUUAUUUCGGGUUAACUGUUUGAUUUCGGAUUAAACCGAACCGACCCCGAUAACCGAAAUAUCACCAAAUCAAAACCGAUCGGGUAUUUCCCAAAAUAUCAAACCGAACCGAUAUCCAUUUUUCGGGUCGGGUUCGGGUUCGGGUUCGGGUUUCGGAUAUUAUGCCCAGGCCUAGGUUUUAGGUUGGAAGCCCAUCUAACUUAACAAUUACCAUCAUUUUAAGUUCGUUGUACCACCUCACCACACUCAUGUUAGUUUUGUUGUUUUUUUUUGUUUCUCUUUAAAUACCAAUUUAUCAAGUUUGCAUUAGAGAUUGUCGUCGAGUCUCUUUUGUCACACAUCAGAACUGUUAAUGUCGUGGCCUCGUUAAAAUGUAGCUUCGACGAAUGACUUAUUAAUUUUUGGCAGGCCUUCAUUGACAUCGAAUGAACAAAAGAACCCUUUGACACUUUACCAACAGAGCUUAUGAUAAAGACAUAGAGACACUUCAUAUGCUAGUGCUAUAUAACUUCUCUUUAUGGCUUUCCAAUGACAAAAGCAAGGCCGAUCUUGAGAUUCCUCAGACUAUAAGGAAAAGUAAUGUUAGAAAGAUUUUUUACUUCUUUGAUAGAUUUUCAUUUUGGUCAAUUUCUCUUUAUAUGUUUUUUUGGUGAAAAAACAUAUUUUAGUGUUUAUUGAGAUAAUUGUCAUUUUAAAUAUUUAUCUAUGAUUUUAUUUUCAAAAUAAUAUUAGAAAUGAUGUGAACAUAUUAACAUUUCAUACGUUAUUAUGCAAAUUUUCAUAUUUUGUGUUUAUAUUAAAAGAAAAAAAAUCGUAAUAUAUUUUUAUUAAAGAUUAAAGAUUGGAAUAAAAAUAUGAAUAUAUUUGCAAAACACACAAAUAACAAGAUCUAAAAUGAAAAUAUUAUACUAAAUAUAUUUUACAUAAUUUAUUUCUAUAUAAUUGAAUAUAUUAUACUAAUAUAUUGUACGUAAUUUAUCAAGAUCUUACAAAAGCAAUGAAUAAUUAAAAAAAAAGUUUAAAUGAAACAAGACUCUGAUAGAAGCUGAUAACUAAAGUUCAUAACUAGUUGUUAUAUAACCAUCAAUGCAUUUAAUAUAAAAUAUGAAAAUUUAUUAAAAUAAUAUAAAUAAUAUAAUAAAGUGUAUAUAUUUUGCAAAGUUAUUUAGAUCAUGGUUAAUGAAAAUCUUUAGUCCAAAAUAAUAAUAUUUUAUAUCUAUUACUAUUUUAAAAUACAAAUUAUAUCUGGAUAAUAUAAUUUGAAAUAAUAUAAAAUAUUCAUAUGUAAUUAGGUUAGGUAAGGAAUCACUUAUAUUAUUUUGAAUCACCGGGAAAAUAAGCAUUUAAUUCCUGAACUAUUUGAAACCGGCAAUUUAAAUACUGAAUUAUUGCUCGCACGCUUUUAUUCCCUAACUAUUUGUUGACUCGACAAAUUGAUACCUAGAAAAGUCAACUGUUAAGUCAAUAACGUUUGUCGUUAAUGUUUUACCAAUCUUCUUCUCCAUUGUACCUCAGAUACUCGAAAUCCCCAAAUUGAAACCCUAAUCUGAGAGAAAAACCAAUUCCGGCAAGUAUAGAGGAGAUUUUCGGUGACGAGAUAAAGAACUUCAAGAAGAACAAAACUCUCUGUCGAGAAGAACAAGACUCUUUGUCGGGAAACGGCUCAAGAUUUCACCGACAGAGAGUUUUGUUCUUCUUGAAGUUCUUCAUCACGUCACCGGUAAUCUCGUGUGUACUUGCUGGAAUCGCUUAAGGGUUCUAAUUUGGGGAUUUCGAGUAUCUGAGGUACAAUGGAAAAGAAGAUUGGUAAAAUACUAACGACAAACAUUAUUGACUUAACGACUGAUUUUUUUGGGUAUCAAUUUGCGGAGUCAACAAAUAGUUGGGGAAUAAAAGCAUGCAAGCAAUAGUUCGGUAUUUAAAUUGUCGAUUUUAAAUAGUUCAAGAAUUAAAUGCCCAUUUUCCCUUGAAUCACCUUACAAUUUGAGCUUUCUUAUCAAGCCCAACUUGAGAUUUUUAUUAGCCCAAUCAGAUUUAAGGCCUUUUAGGUCUGAGGAGAUUGAGAUAACUCAUGUUUCAAAUUUUUUUUGUUGUUUUUUUUCAAAUCAAGGUAUUUCGGAUACGAAGAUUCUACUAAUCUAGGAAGCCAGGAGACAAACCAUGUAAAAUACUCCAUGUUCCACAUGUGCGCAGUUUAUUUGAGUAAUAGGUUUUGAAUCCGAAGUACUUACCAUCUUUUUAAGUUCCUCGUACCACCUCAUCACAAUCAUAUGAGUUUUCUUGUUGUUUAUGUUUCUCUCUAAGUACCAAUUUAUCAAGUUUUCAUUAGAGAUUGUCGAGGAGUCUCUUUCGUCACACACCAGAACUGUCUUUUCGAUAAUGUUGUGGCUCGUUAAAAUGUAGCUCUAACAAAUGACUUAUUAAUUUUUAAUAAACAAAGAAACCCUUUGACACAUUUACCAACAGAGCUUAUGAUAAAGACAUAAGAGACACUUCAUAUCCCUAGUGUUUCUUGCCUUUGUACAUACAUUUGGAAUCUGGCUUCGGAGUUCAGAAAAUGACUUGUGGAAAUAGAUAAUUGGGUUGCUUGGACGAAUAUACCCCUCCGUCAUGAUGAAAAAAAAAACAUGUUUGUACUCUGCCAGGGCAGGUCGCGAGAAAAGCGUGUCAGUUCGGUAGAGUGACGUUCGAGAUCGUGGAUUGCCAGGUGGCUCACUUCUGCUCCCCUCAUUGUCUCCUGUUUUUUAGUUAAAAAGGUGGAUGGUAUCUACGAGAUAACAUUGGUAAAAGAAAAUCUUUUAAUUAAUUUUCUUAAAGAAGAUUUUUCAAUUAAUUUUCUUGGAUUAUAUUCAAAAUAAUAUAAGAAAGAAGAUAUUUCAUUUUUUUUAAGAAGAUCUUUUCAAAAAGGACUUUUGUUUAAAGCAUCUCCAAUAGAAUUCUAUAUUGUUUUGAAUAUAAUCCAAGAAAAUUAAUUGAAAGAUCUUCUUUCUUAUAUUAUUUUGAAUAUAAUCCAAGAAAAUUAAUUGAAAUUCUUUAAGAAAAUUAAUUGAAAGAUUUUAGUUUUAAAAAGUCCUCUUAUAAAUUUUUAUGUCAAUAUAAAUAUGCAUCAAUAUAAAGUAGAAUAGAAGAGUCAAACAAUUUAGAAACCAUCCUACAAAAUGGUUCUCUCCAAAAAUUUAUUAAUCGCAUUUAGUUUCGCUAUUUUCUUCUUGAUAUCAAAUGUUCACUGCAUUGAUACUAUUCCGGGUACUAGAAUACUACUUUGACAUUUAAUUUUGGUUGUACUAAUAUAUUGAUCGCUUAAUUUUAAUAUUAUAUUAUUUAUUAUUAUUUAAACAGGUAUUGGCAUAAAAAUGUCGAAAAUAUGCUACGAUACGGUUUCAUGUGCAGGUGACGGAGCUCAAUGCAGAACGUUUUGUACAGGUUUUAAGGCAACAGGGGUUUGUAUUUCUGAAGCUUGUUGUUGUAUAUUUAGAAACAAAAUAUUAAAAUAAUAUCGUUAGAUAAUAUAUAUAUAUUAAUAAAAGUAAAAGAAUGUAAUCAAUAGUAAAUAAACGAUAUUAUGAAAGAAAAAAUGAUAUUAUGAAAUUGAAGCUACUUACAUUAACUUCAAAAAAAAAAAUAUUGGUCAAAGUGUACUAAAAAUUUAAAAGGUAAUAUGCCAUACAUGAUAUCUCUAUCUCCAUAAUAUUAUUUGAAAAAUCAUUUUCCUACGUGACGCUUACGUUAAUUCUCACGAUGAUUGAUUACGAUGAUACUCCUAGUGAAUCAAAUAAAUCUAAUUAUCAUUACCAAAUAUUUUAUUUAUUUAGGUUCAUUUUUCUUUGUUUUUGUUAAAUAACCUAUAUAAUAAAUAAAAUUUAUAAAUUUUAUAAAAUAAAACAUCUUUUAUAUCACGUAAUUCAUAAUAAGAAAACUUCACAAAAUAAUCUUGAUGUUAAAGUAGAAAAUUAAUAUUCCCUUUUAAACGAUAAUCUUAAACAAUAAAAUAUAUAUUUUAAAAGUAUUAAGCAUUUUUUAAUAUCAAUAUGUUUUCAAAUUAUUACAAAAUAAUUUAAUUUAAUUUUUCUUUUUCAUUCAGGUUCCCUUUUAUAUUUUUAAAUAACAUAUAUGAUAAAGAACACAUUUAUAAAUUUUAAAACGAAAUAUAUAUAUAUAUAUAUACAUAUAUAUAUAUAAAUUGUGAUUUCACAAAAAAAAAGUUUAAAAAAUAACCUUGAUGUUAAAGUAAGAAAAUAAUCUUCCUUUGUAAAAUUUACCGUUUAUGUUUUUAUGCAACUUUAUACCUAUAAUCAUUUUAUUUUUAUUAUUUUAUUUUUGCAAAUUAAAAUAUACCAAAUUACUAAAAAAUAAAAAAUAUAUUAACAUAUCUAAAAUGAAGAACGAUAAACUAAUAAAAUGAAUAUAGUUAAUACGAUUUGGUUGAAUUAGAUUAUAAAUAAUUAUACUUUAAUUUAACGGAAUAUAUGUAAUACAUUAUACCCACAAAAUGAAUAACUAGACCAAUCCAAAAGUUUUUAUACAAAGUCAAACAUUGAAUAAAAAUAAUAUAUAUAUAUAUAUAGUAAUACUUUUAUACGAAUAAAUUAUAAAAAAUUGAACAUAUUAUUAAAUUAUGAAAUUUUCAAAUAAUUUUAUAAAUAUACUAACCAACUAUUACAAUUCAGUAUUUUGUAUAACUUAUAUAUAUGCAUAAGAUUUCAAAACAACAUAUAUUAAAUUAUACUUAAUCUUGCUAAAAUAUAUUUACAAAUGUAAGACUAGAAUCAAACUACAUGAAAAUAACAAAAUUAAUCAAAAUUUUAAUUUGUAUAACAAAAAAUAUUGAAUCAAAAAAUUAAAUGUUAUCUAAUAUAUCCAAAUAAUAACCAAACAAUAGAGAUAUUCUAUAUCCAAAAUUAUACAAAUAGUAACCAAAGAGUCGAGAUAUUAUAUAUCUAAAAUUAUAUGUCUAAUUAAAUAACAUAAUUUUAUUUAAAAUAAACCUUGCAUAUUUAUUACAAUAUAAAUAACAGAAUGAUUAAAAAUUAAAAAAAAAAUCAUAAAUUUUUAUAAUGUAUUUACUUUAUUAAUAUUUAUACCCGUGCAUGCGGGAAAAUCACCUAGUAGAACUGUAAAACAAGUAGGUUUCUGGUCAUAUGAUCGUAACGGUAAACUUCGAUAACUAUUUCUAUUUGUACAUUUAGCAUUUUAUCUUAUAUGAAUUUGAUAACUUUUAACGAACAAGCUACAAUUAUGUUAUUUUAUAACUGGUUGUUGAAAUAAUUGUGUAUUAUUUAUUAAAGGAGUUGAUAAUAAAAAAAUUUAAUAAUGGUUUUGUUCAUAAUCUUGCAGUUGAACACCAUUUAGUUGUUUUCAUAUCAAUUUUAUGUAUUUCGUCUUUAGUUAUUAUUCUAAAGUAUUAUAUUAAUUAAAUAAACACAUAUUAUUAGUACAAAUAAACAUUCAAAUAUUUCAUUUUUAAUAUUAGGUUUAAAUGUUAAAAUUAUUUUAUAACAAAAGAAAAUUCGUUUACUAUAGAAAAUUUGGAAAGAUUAAAUAUCACAAAAGAGAAAAUGUAUUUAUGGGAAGUUUUGCUGCCGAUUGAUGCCAAGAACUUGAGUACUGAAUGAUCUUGUUACAUCAAUCAAUUACCAUAUUCAAUCAAUCAUUAAACAAAAACAGAAUAUUUUUACAAUUAUGAAUCUGAGAACGCAGAAAUUCAUAAUCAGUGCCUGCUGUUGAAGCUUGAGAAGUUUGAACCAUUUCCAUGAACCAUCAGAUUUAUUACUGACUUGUGAGAGUUUUCCGGAUCCAUACAACCCAAAGUGAACCUAAGUUUGUAAGCAACCUCCGGUUAGGAUCAAGGGGAAUACCCUAGACAAAUCUAUCAUACAUUUGAUACCAAGUCAUCUCUCUCUGCCUUUGGUUUACAUAUAUCUUCCUAUGCAACACUCCUCCUAUAUAUUAAAUGAGAAGUCGUUUAAAUGAUUUUUGUUUAGAGCAUCUCCUAUAAUCUUCUAUACUUUUUUCUAUAUUCUACUUUAAAAUAGAAUAACUAUAUUAUAGAGUCGGAUUUGCUCUAAUGAUUUACUCUGUAACAGACCAAAACAACCAAAUCAAGAAAACAAAAAGAUGUAAAAAUGAUCAUUCCCUCAUGAUCUGACAAAUUUGAAACACCUCGACCCAGCUUCCUAUGAUGCGGUCGAUUUAUUCCGUCUAUCAACGUGCAGCCAAGAGUAUAAUCCAUGAAAUUUGCAGUCUCGAGCUAUAAAAACCCAGCUGCAAUAUAUACAUUCAAACAAAACAGAACAUACUUCUAUCACUAUUCUCUGAAACUUCAAAAACAAAAGGCCAAAAAAAAAAAAAGAAAGAAAAACAACCAAAUCAAGAAGACAAAAAGAUGUAAAAGUUUUAUAAUCAAGAAGCACUUGGGUUCCUGGAAUGUGCUGCACUUGGGUUCCGGGACUGUGCAGAACUUGGAUUUAGGGACUGUGCUGCACUUGGGUUCCGAGAAUGCGCCCUUGAAGCUACUCCCCACUCCAUUGCCUCCGCCACGGCUCUCUCCCGUUCCUCAGCCGCCGCAGGAUCCUCACGGGAUGUUUCACCCGGCGGCUGAGGAGGGGAAACGUCGUCGUAUCGUGGAACAGAGAUAGAGCCAUCAGGAGCAGUUCCCAAGAAACCGAGAGCGGUCACAACGUCGCUCAUGAGUGGCCGUACCGUUGCCUCUUCCUGUAAACACAUUGCAGCGACAGCCACUGCCUGGUUAAGUGCUUUCUCCGGGAACACUCCUUCAAGACUUGGAUCCGCUAACUCCGGGAAUCUACUCGGUUCUUUGAACACCGGUUGUGCCUAAAACACACAACAAGAACUUUGAUGUUAAGCAAGACCGGUUAACAUUUAAUUAAAAGAUUAUUAAAAAAUCAUAAUAAACCUAUGUCUAUGUAUAUAACCUCUAAUAAAUUUUGGGUGAAAACAAGAGAAACUCACCCAAGUCACUAGGUUCUGUUCAUCUUUGGGUCUGGUCGUAUCAAUAACUCUUCGUCCAGUUAUCAGUUCCAACAACACAACUCCGAAGCUGUAAACAUCUGAUUUAAUGGUUAACUGACCGGUUCUCUGAUACUCUGGAGCACAGUACCCGUAAGUUCCCAUAACUCUUGAAGACACAUGUUGUUUGUCUCCGACAGGACCUAGCUUCGCUAGCCCAAAAUCUGAUAACUUGGCGUUGAAGUCACUGUCCAAAAGGAUAUUAGCUGCCUUGAGAUCUCUAUAGAUCACCGGAGGAUCUGCCUUGUCAUGCAAGUAUUCAAGACCCAUCGCGGCUCCUAGCGCGAUUCUGAUCCUUGUGUCCCAAUCCAACGGUACUUGGUCAGGUGUUAGGUCUGUAACCAUUUCAAUAAAAUAUUGGGAACUAAUCAAAUAAAAUAGAGUGAAUAUCGAUCUUUAGGGUUUGUAGUUUUUUUUACCGAGGAGAUGAUCUUCAAGUGAACCACGAGACAUGUACUCAUAGACAAGAAGUCUUUGAUCUCCAUCAGCACAAUAACCAAUGAGAUUCACGAGAUGUUUGUGAUGCAAAAGACUUAACAUCAACACUUCUACGAUAAACUCUUUGUUUCCUUGUAGACCAUUUCUAUCUAAUUGCUUCACAGCCACAAUCUGAAUCCAAAACGACCAUUAGCAAAUUCUUGAGUCACUUGUUGUAUCAAUUCAUGUAACAAGAUUCAACAAAGAUUAACUUAUUCAGGUUUCAAUUAAAUUGAUAUUAAUACAAUAAGUAUAUAUGGACGUUUUAGGUAAACUAGUUAAACUAUCAAGAAAUCAAGCUCGAGAAACAUUAGUACUAACCUUGCCACAUUUUUCGAGUUUGCCCUUGUAAACCCUACCAAAGCCGCCUUCACCGAUCAAACAUUCUUGUCUGAAAUUCUUGGUGGCAGUAGCUAGCUCCCUGAAGGUGAAUGUCUGAGCAGCAAUGUUGUUGGUCAUUUCUUUUUCUGCAUCAUUGUUCUUGUUCUGCUCAUUUCCAGUCUUGUCUGGAAUCUCUGCAAGGACCAAAUUAACAUCCAGACUCAUAAAAACCCUAAUAUAUAAACAUUUGAAAUAUUUGAAAAUUUUGUAUAGAUUUUUUGCUGAGCUCACCAGGGUGUGUUUUGUUGUUGUCUCUACCGGUCAACUCGCCAUUUCUCCGGCGGCUGUUAUCUGAAUCUUUGGGAGUUUUUUUCUUUUCAUGGAAAUAAAAGCAAGAAAAGCAAUUCAUCUUCUCUUAACUCCUUUACGAUGAGAUGAACCCUUUCUCAAGCAACCUUUGAUCUCUCUUUCUUCUUUUCUUCUUGUUAUUAAAGAUCAAUAAAUGCCUGCAUUGACAAAAAGAAAAGAAUUAUAUAUUCAGAUAAAUACAUAAUAAUCUAGAAAUUAAAAUGUGGAAAGCAAAUUAACCUUGGAAUCCUUCAUAAACAAUGGUUGCUCCUUCCCCAAGAAACCCCCGUUAGGGUUUUCCCUCUAUCUUCACCUUUUUUUUUUCUUUUUUUUGAAACACAAAACCCAGGUCAAGAAAAACAAAAUCAACACCAAAACCGUCGGGAUCCGAAGCGCUGAAGAGACUCCUUGAAAAUUGGAUUUUUCAGGUUUAGGUUUCUGAAUUUCUCUUAAUAUAGACAAACUAAACUAUUUGUUUAAUUAAUGUAAUAAAUGGGGGUCCAUAUCUCGUUGCUCUCAUGUUUGUGUGCCUCACAUUCCUCUAAGAAAUAUGCUUUGGAGAUUUUAAAACGAAUAAAGAAGACGAAGAAUGACAUGGAGACCAUGAAGUGAAUAAUGCAACAAAAAGGUUGGAUGUAAUGUUGAUGGUUGCACGAACUAACGUAUUUUAAAAAUAAAAAAUGCGAAUUAUUGUAACAUUAUUAUUCCCAAAAACUCUUUUAAAAUUGAGAUUAAACAGAGGAGACAUAGAAAUGAUGAUGAAUUAUCUUCCGACUCUUUUGUUACAAAAUCAAGUCAACAACCUUCUUGCAAAUACGAUUGAGAUUGAUACAAUAUCCAUUAGGAUUAUUUGAAUAAUUUGUGAUUGUGACCCCAUUACAUAAAACUGGGCCGACUAAUAAUAUUGUUUACCUUGUAAUGCCACUAUGUGUAAGAGAAAAUAGCAUUGUUUGCACGCACGGCUCUAUCGUCAUCAAAGAGUGACAUCGAUCUGAGCCGAAGAAUCCGUCAAGAUAAUGUCUCUCGAGUUAUCAGCUUUUGGGUGAUCCAACGUGUCAAACUUUAUACGCACAUGCACCGGCUUCAAGAAGACAAUGUCUCUCACUUCUCUCUUUGACUUCAACAACACUUUCACAAACAAAUCUUCAUCCAUAGUCGUCAUGUUCCUUGCUGGAUUUAAAACGUCUGCUAUUCUUCUCGCCAGCUCUUCCUGGCUCGCACCUUGUGUCUCUUCGUUCUUUGCAAGUCUUAGAUACAAAGCUGCAUAAACAAUAAGCUGCACAAAACCAAAUUGGAUGCUUAAAACCACGGUAUAGGAGACUUGAGAGAAGAUUCUAGGCGUUACCUCGCUUGUGCCAGGACUUGUAUUGACAGAGCAAUCGAUGUGUAUCCGUCCAUCAUCUUCACUGACCUCAGAGAUAUCUUCUUCUUGCUCUUUUUCAUCUUCCUCAGCUAAUUCAGGGUUGACUAUUUCUUUGGCGAGGUUGUCUAAUUCAUCGUACCAUUGUUGUGAGACUCCAACCUGCAAGUCAUGCAAACAAAACUCCUUGAGCCACAUCUGAACUAAACCGGAGUAAAAGGGAAUGUAAUUCUCUUUAGACCUUUUCAGCUGGUUCCACUGCACUUCCAGCAUUUGAGACUUCGGUGAUUGAGCCUCUUGCCUGUCGCCAGAUGCAGCUUUCUUGUAACGGUUCAACAAGCUCUGUGCACUGAGGGAUCUCUAUGCUCAACCGUAUGCUAAUUUUACCUGUUAAGUCAAACACAUUAAGUCAAACCAUGCUGCAGCUAAUGUCAAAACCAUUAAGGGUUUGUCUCGCCUGGUAAUAACCGGAGUUGAUGAGUAUGGCUGAUGUGUGCUUCUUGUACUCCGUUAGCUCUGUUUUGUUUUAACCCAAAAGACCACAACAUCAGUUAAGUAAGCUUUAGAACAAGAAUAGUGCUCUUAAUUAAUGGAAAAAGAUUCACUAACAGAUUGAAAACUCUCUCCAGUGGAGUGGACAACCAAUACGGCAACCCAAGGAUCCCAAUAUUUGAAAACUGUAUGCUAGAGCAUGCUCCAGAUUCUCUAUUUAGCUUCAACACCCUCUGACCAGCUUCAUAUGUAAGAGAGAUACACAUAAGCUGAUGCAUAGAGAUGAAACAGGGAGAAUUGCACUUGUUUUACCUGUAUCUGUCAUGACAAUGUCGUCUCCAAAUUCAGAGAAAGAAGACAAAAGAGCAGCACUUGGCUGCUCCUUGCAUGAGGUGAUAGCCUUAGUUUGCUGUUGCAACCAAGUAGAAGGCAAAUGUUUCAAUAGCGAUAGCUUCUCCGUGAUCAAUUCCCCAUAGAUCUCCAUUAUCCCCUGGAACCCUUCAGAGAUUUUGAUAAAAUAAUAUAUAUGUCAGAUAAAAUAGAUGAACACGCAGUACCAUAAGAUGGUUGUUAUAUAUGAACCUUCCACAACUUCUUCGAUCUCUCCAGAAGCUAAAUUUAUUAUCCACAACUUUGAAAAGCUGAAGAAAACAAGACAAACCUAUCAGGUACCAAGAGAAAGUAAAAAAAAAUGAGCUUUCUCUGAUGUAUCAAGCAACCACUUUACCUUUUGUUAAUGACUACAAGACUAUCAUCAUCACGUUUAAGUAUAUUCCAUGGAAACAUCAGGGAGGGAGCAUCAGACUCUUCUGAUUUAGCAUCAGCAUCAACUGUUGUUUCUUCAUCUUUUUCAAAACCUAUUUUCUCCAUUAUCCAAGACCAUAAGCCAACACUCUUCUUGAUAACCUUUGGAUAUACCGUUUCCAGGACCCGCGUCUUUAUAUUUGCUCUUCUAAUGGCAUGAUUCUUAAAGAGUUAAAGAAACAAAGAGAUUAAAAAACAAUCUUAACAAGAAUAUAUUGAGUGAUCACAACUUCUUGUAGGAGUCAUAAUACCUCAGAAUCUACAAUGUAAAGGCAAUCAUCUUCUUCGUCAUACAGGGUCGCUGCAGGACGUAGCAUCUUUGCUGAUUCGAAUUCUCCAUCCUCAAAACCUGGGAAACAACCAAUCUGAAAUAGAAACAUGUCUUGAAGUUUAGCUCCACAUGAACCUUUUUUCUCUAAAAGUAACUUAAGACUUUCCCAAAUGUGAUCUAGUUCGCUUACGCUGUCUAAAAUCUCCCCAGUACUAGUGGAUAUGAUAAUACGAUGAUGGUUGCUAUCAGAAAGAAACAGACAAUCUCCAGCUUCGUCUGCAGAGAUGCAACCUGUUAUGGAGAAUGUCAAACACUAAGAGUACUUAGAGAGUAGCAUGAAAGAUAAGAAGAGAAGGUUGAAGAACUAUACCUGGAAAGUAAAGAAACAAAUCUUGCAGGAAAGAAGAGAAGUGUGGUUCCUUGAUAGCAUCAGCCUGUUUUGACCAAGUGUUGGUGAAAAGUUUGACGGACUUUGAUUUCUCAGUAUCUUGACUGAGGCUGUCAAGAGCUGCAUCAAAAGCACAAGAAGAAGAAACCAGAAUACGCAAUCAAGCACACAAAACAACAGAACCAUUAGAUGCUUUCGCCUUCUUGAAGGUAUGAAGCAAAGACUAUUCAAUAGCUUAUGAAGCAUUGCUAGAGAACAUUUGUUAGUGAUGUAGGCAUACCUUUAGCUACAGAAGCAAUAUCCAGAUCCUUGUCUUGGUAGAUUAAAGGGUUCUUAAAAUCUCUAAACACGAAGUAGCGUACUUCUUCUCCACUUGACUAAAACAAUUAGCAAAAACAUUCAAUUCAAAUCGACAAAUAAGCUUAUAACUUGGGAGAAUAAUAUACAACAAAUGAAUCGUUCUUGGAGAUACGAUAUGUUACCUUAGGAAACUCUUUCUCAGAAAGCAGUACAGGAAAAGUAAGAUAUUCCUUAACAAUCAACUCAGCUAAAGCAGCUCGAUCAUCGGUGAUUCUAGCUUGAUCACUGAAGUGAAUGCCCAUGAAACAGACUCCAGGAGACCUUUACAAGAAUCACAGAGAACUCAGCCAAAAAUCCCUGUUUAGUUGCCAUGAUUGUGAACAAAGGAACAUGCUUAAACCUCUGCUGAAGCAACUUGAGUUUCUCAAAGAAACAACUCGGAUCUCCAUUAAGCAAAUCGCCAACAAGAACUACGUAAGUCCCUUUCUCCUUGAAAAGCUGUUUAUUCUCAGUGUCACGAUUCAACCAAUGAUGGGAAGGACCUAAAGAGUUCAAAGUUCAGAACUUUGUUUACAACCAACACAAAGAGAUGUUACAAAACAAUAAGUACCUUCAAGCUUAUCAAGUGAAGCUCUAACAUAAGAGAGCAAAUCAGCAUGUGGAGAAGAAGAAGCUCGAGACACUCGUUUCACCGACGCAAAUCUGAACACUGAUUAUCAAAAUGAACACAGAAUCGAAAAGACGAUACAUUUAUCGAAAGCAGAUCAAAUCGAAUUAAACCCACCCGCGAGUUCCGACCAAUGUGUUCGACACAAUGUUCCUGUCUCCACCGGAUGAAGGAGCUAAACAAGUAGCAACGGGUCGCCGAUACCCCCGGUGAAUAUUGCCUAGUGAACAAAGAAUCUUUAAGAAAAACGCACGCUUGAAUUAGUGAAAACCCAGACAGCUCUGAAGAUCAAAGUUCCUAACCUGAGACGAUCCGAGAAGAAAGCCACGAAAUUUUCUUCAAAUUGAGGCUUCUGCUGCUAGACAUUCUUGGCUUCAAUCUUCUAUGGUCAACGAGUUUCAGGAAUCUGAAGAUUUUACAAGGGUUUAACCGCCAGCUUCGAGCCGGCGGAUCAAGUCUCAGUCUUUCAGCAGCAACAAUAGACGAUGACUUAUUCUAUUCUUUUCAAUGCAAAAGACUUCAACAUCGGGGUGGUGGCGCAGUUGGCUAGCGCGUAGGUCUCAUAGCUAUCUGAGUAAUCCUGAGGUCGAGAGUUCGAGCCUCUCUCACCCCAAUUAUUUUUUAUUUCUUUGUUUUAGUUGUUGACUCUCUACGCUUGGAAUAUUUUUCUCUGGACCGAGCUAAAAUUUUUUUUAGUAAAUUUUGUUAGUUUGGUUAAAAAUUUUGGUAUUUUUUGAAUAUAAUUUUUACCUUUUUUUUAAAAAAUAUAAUAACUGGUUAAUCAAAACUCUAACUUUUAAAAUGUUUACUGAAUCAAAUCGAACUAAUUCUAAAUUUUAAUAAAACUAAAUUUAAAUCAGACAUGAAUCAAAAUUUUCAGUAAUUUUUUUAAAAGCUAAACUAACCGAAUAUCAAACCAAGUUUUAUUUUAGAUUGAUUCGGUAAAAUUUAUGUUCAACCGAACUUGCUUAUCCAACUUUCAGAUUAAAUCUGAGCAUUUGGAUUUUCGAGUCGGAUUCGGUCGGGUUUGAGUUGGGUCUUGUCGGGUUUUUUGGAACCAGAUCCGAUAAGAUAUUUAAAAUUUAUCGGUUCAGAUUCUAUCGGGUCCGGUUUCGGUUUGGCUCCGGUCAUUUCGGGUCCGAGUAAAAUGCAAGGCCUACUUCAGACCUAAUUGACUCAAACAGAGUCGGGUCGGGUCGUCAUCCAAAUCCUUUUAACAGCAAACCCUAAUUGCCGCCGAUAUCUCCCUUAACCCUUCUCUUCUAAACCUUCUCAAGCUUCGCUCUCAGAGAUGGCGAAGUGUGGUAAAAGUAAGCUAAAAUCCCUCAAUUGAUUCUGGAAUUUUCUCUCUAGGUCUUUUUAUUGAGUUGUUUGAUGCUGUGAUCGUCCUUUUUGUAGAGAGCAAGAGUAAGAGGGUGACCUUGAAGCAGAAGAACAAGGUCCUUAGAAAGGUGAAGGAGCACCACAAGAAGAAGGCAAAGGAGGCUAAGAAGCUCGGCCUUAACCGCAAGCCGAGAGCAGAGAAGGACCCAGGUAUCCCCAAUGACUGGCCUUACAAGGAACAAGAGCUUAAGGCCUUAGAAGCUCGACGCGCCAGUGCUGUGGAGGUGAUUGAACAGAAGAAAGAGGCCCACAAAGAAAAGGUAUCAAACUUUGUUUUGAUUUAUUGUGAAAGCUUGAGUUUUUUUGGUUAAAGACAUGUUCUUUUUUUGUGUCUUGCUGUUUGGUUUUCUUGUAAUAAUUAAUUGUAAAGUGAUGUUUGUGUUCUGAUCUCUCUUACUAAGGCUAAAAAGAGGAAGCUUGAGGAUGAGGAGACCAAGAGUGGAGAUGACUCAACUAGACUUGUCAAUGUUCGAGGUGAAAUUUUAUUGUGCUUUUUGAUUUUAUAUUUAAGUGAUUUUAGUCUACCUUUGUAACAUAUGUUUAUUUGUUUCACAGAUAACUCGGAGAGGGCUUUCUACAAGGAGCUUGUGAAAGUCAUUGAACUAUCCGACGUCAUUCUCGAGGUUCUCGAUGCUCGUGAUCCCCUCGGCACGCGUUGUACCGACAUGGAGAGGAUGGUGAUGCAAGCUGGUCCCAAUAAGCACCUAGUGUUGCUUCUCAACAAGAUUGGUAAAGCUUUUUCUAUAGAAGCUCUCUGCUCUCGUGCUGUUGUUGUCAAUCAUUAGACUCAUAGUCUCUCUUUGUACUACAGAUCUUGUUCCUCGAGAGGCUGCUGAGAAAUGGCUUAAGUACCUUAGGGAAGAGUUUCCAGCUGUUGCCUUCAAAUGUAGCACCCAGGAACAGAGAUCAAACUUGGGUUGGAAGUCUUCUAAGGCGUCGAAACCAAGUAAUCUUUUGCAGACGAGUGAUUGUCUUGGAGCAGACACUCUUAUCAAAUUGCUGAAAAACUACUCGAGAAGUCAUGAGGUUGCUUUCUCAUAAUUUGCUUUCAAUGAGUUGCAUCAUCCAGUUUUGGAUUAAUCUUUCUCUGUUGUUUCGUGUUUCGGCAGUUGAAAAAAUCUAUUACAGUUGGUAUUAUUGGACUACCCAACGUAGGGAAGAGUAGUCUUAUCAACAGUUUGAAGAGAGCUCACGUUGUCAACGUCGGCGCCACUCCUGGACUAACCAGGUCUCUCCAAGAGGUUCACUUGGACAAAAACGUGAAGCUGCUGGAUUGUCCUGGAGUUGUGAUGCUCAAAUCUUCAGCGAAUGAUGCUUCUAUAGCUCUCCGCAAUUGUAAAAGAAUCGAGAAGUUGGAAGAUCCAGUUAGUCCAGGUAAAUUGGAAACUAUGCUAAUUAAUGAUUGAAUAUAUUCAAAUUAAUCUCAGUGAUCUAACUGUGAAACCUUGUUGGGGAAUCUAGUGAAGGAGAUACUCAAGCUUUGUUCACCACAACUGCUGGUGACUCUGUACAAGAUCCAGAGCUUCGAGGCGGUUGAUGACUUUCUUUAUAAAGUGGCUACUGUAAGGGGGAAGCUUAAGAAGGGUGGUCUUGUGGAUAUCGAAGCUGCUGCGAGGAUUGUGUUGCAUGACUGGAAUGAAGGUGAGGUCAUUAUUGUCUUUUAGUUCAGUCAUAAUUCUUAAAGAGUUAAAGAAACAAAGAGAUUAAAAAACAAUCUUAACAAGAAUAUAUUGAGUGAUCACAACUUCUUGUAGGAGUCAUAAUACCUCAGAAUCUACAAUGUAAAGGCAAUCAUCUUCUUCGUCAUACAGGGUCGCUGCAGGACGUAGCAUCUUUGCUGAUUCGAAUUCUCCAUCCUCAAAACCUGGGAAACAACCAAUCUGAAAUAGAAACAUGUCUUGAAGUUUAGCUCCACAUGAACCUUUUUUCUCUAAAAGUAACUUAAGACUUUCCCAAAUGUGAUCUAGUUCGCUUACGCUGUCUAAAAUCUCCCCAGUACUAGUGGAUAUGAUAAUACGAUGAUGGUUGCUAUCAGAAAGAAACAGACAAUCUCCAGCUUCGUCUGCAGAGAUGCAACCUGUUAUGGAGAAUGUCAAACACUAAGAGUACUUAGAGAGUAGCAUGAAAGAUAAGAAGAGAAGGUUGAAGAACUAUACCUGGAAAGUAAAGAAACAAAUCUUGCAGGAAAGAAGAGAAGUGUGGUUCCUUGAUAGCAUCAGCCUGUUUUGACCAAGUGUUGGUGAAAAGUUUGACGGACUUUGAUUUCUCAGUAUCUUGACUGAGGCUGUCAAGAGCUGCAUCAAAAGCACAAGAAGAAGAAACCAGAAUACGCAAUCAAGCACACAAAACAACAGAACCAUUAGAUGCUUUCGCCUUCUUGAAGGUAUGAAGCAAAGACUAUUCAAUAGCUUAUGAAGCAUUGCUAGAGAACAUUUGUUAGUGAUGUAGGCAUACCUUUAGCUACAGAAGCAAUAUCCAGAUCCUUGUCUUGGUAGAUUAAAGGGUUCUUAAAAUCUCUAAACACGAAGUAGCGUACUUCUUCUCCACUUGACUAAAACAAUUAGCAAAAACAUUCAAUUCAAAUCGACAAAUAAGCUUAUAACUUGGGAGAAUAAUAUACAACAAAUGAAUCGUUCUUGGAGAUACGAUAUGUUACCUUAGGAAACUCUUUCUCAGAAAGCAGUACAGGAAAAGUAAGAUAUUCCUUAACAAUCAACUCAGCUAAAGCAGCUCGAUCAUCGGUGAUUCUAGCUUGAUCACUGAAGUGAAUGCCCAUGAAACAGACUCCAGGAGACCUUUACAAGAAUCACAGAGAACUCAGCCAAAAAUCCCUGUUUAGUUGCCAUGAUUGUGAACAAAGGAACAUGCUUAAACCUCUGCUGAAGCAACUUGAGUUUCUCAAAGAAACAACUCGGAUCUCCAUUAAGCAAAUCGCCAACAAGAACUACGUAAGUCCCUUUCUCCUUGAAAAGCUGUUUAUUCUCAGUGUCACGAUUCAACCAAUGAUGGGAAGGACCUAAAGAGUUCAAAGUUCAGAACUUUGUUUACAACCAACACAAAGAGAUGUUACAAAACAAUAAGUACCUUCAAGCUUAUCAAGUGAAGCUCUAACAUAAGAGAGCAAAUCAGCAUGUGGAGAAGAAGAAGCUCGAGACACUCGUUUCACCGACGCAAAUCUGAACACUGAUUAUCAAAAUGAACACAGAAUCGAAAAGACGAUACAUUUAUCGAAAGCAGAUCAAAUCGAAUUAAACCCACCCGCGAGUUCCGACCAAUGUGUUCGACACAAUGUUCCUGUCUCCACCGGAUGAAGGAGCUAAACAAGUAGCAACGGGUCGCCGAUACCCCCGGUGAAUAUUGCCUAGUGAACAAAGAAUCUUUAAGAAAAACGCACGCUUGAAUUAGUGAAAACCCAGACAGCUCUGAAGAUCAAAGUUCCUAACCUGAGACGAUCCGAGAAGAAAGCCACGAAAUUUUCUUCAAAUUGAGGCUUCUGCUGCUAGACAUUCUUGGCUUCAAUCUUCUAUGGUCAACGAGUUUCAGGAAUCUGAAGAUUUUACAAGGGUUUAACCGCCAGCUUCGAGCCGGCGGAUCAAGUCUCAGUCUUUCAGCAGCAACAAUAGACGAUGACUUAUUCUAUUCUUUUCAAUGCAAAAGACUUCAACAUCGGGGUGGUGGCGCAGUUGGCUAGCGCGUAGGUCUCAUAGCUAUCUGAGUAAUCCUGAGGUCGAGAGUUCGAGCCUCUCUCACCCCAAUUAUUUUUUAUUUCUUUGUUUUAGUUGUUGACUCUCUACGCUUGGAAUAUUUUUCUCUGGACCGAGCUAAAAUUUUUUUUAGUAAAUUUUGUUAGUUUGGUUAAAAAUUUUGGUAUUUUUUGAAUAUAAUUUUUACCUUUUUUUUAAAAAAUAUAAUAACUGGUUAAUCAAAACUCUAACUUUUAAAAUGUUUACUGAAUCAAAUCGAACUAAUUCUAAAUUUUAAUAAAACUAAAUUUAAAUCAGACAUGAAUCAAAAUUUUCAGUAAUUUUUUUAAAAGCUAAACUAACCGAAUAUCAAACCAAGUUUUAUUUUAGAUUGAUUCGGUAAAAUUUAUGUUCAACCGAACUUGCUUAUCCAACUUUCAGAUUAAAUCUGAGCAUUUGGAUUUUCGAGUCGGAUUCGGUCGGGUUUGAGUUGGGUCUUGUCGGGUUUUUUGGAACCAGAUCCGAUAAGAUAUUUAAAAUUUAUCGGUUCAGAUUCUAUCGGGUCCGGUUUCGGUUUGGCUCCGGUCAUUUCGGGUCCGAGUAAAAUGCAAGGCCUACUUCAGACCUAAUUGACUCAAACAGAGUCGGGUCGGGUCGUCAUCCAAAUCCUUUUAACAGCAAACCCUAAUUGCCGCCGAUAUCUCCCUUAACCCUUCUCUUCUAAACCUUCUCAAGCUUCGCUCUCAGAGAUGGCGAAGUGUGGUAAAAGUAAGCUAAAAUCCCUCAAUUGAUUCUGGAAUUUUCUCUCUAGGUCUUUUUAUUGAGUUGUUUGAUGCUGUGAUCGUCCUUUUUGUAGAGAGCAAGAGUAAGAGGGUGACCUUGAAGCAGAAGAACAAGGUCCUUAGAAAGGUGAAGGAGCACCACAAGAAGAAGGCAAAGGAGGCUAAGAAGCUCGGCCUUAACCGCAAGCCGAGAGCAGAGAAGGACCCAGGUAUCCCCAAUGACUGGCCUUACAAGGAACAAGAGCUUAAGGCCUUAGAAGCUCGACGCGCCAGUGCUGUGGAGGUGAUUGAACAGAAGAAAGAGGCCCACAAAGAAAAGGUAUCAAACUUUGUUUUGAUUUAUUGUGAAAGCUUGAGUUUUUUUGGUUAAAGACAUGUUCUUUUUUUGUGUCUUGCUGUUUGGUUUUCUUGUAAUAAUUAAUUGUAAAGUGAUGUUUGUGUUCUGAUCUCUCUUACUAAGGCUAAAAAGAGGAAGCUUGAGGAUGAGGAGACCAAGAGUGGAGAUGACUCAACUAGACUUGUCAAUGUUCGAGGUGAAAUUUUAUUGUGCUUUUUGAUUUUAUAUUUAAGUGAUUUUAGUCUACCUUUGUAACAUAUGUUUAUUUGUUUCACAGAUAACUCGGAGAGGGCUUUCUACAAGGAGCUUGUGAAAGUCAUUGAACUAUCCGACGUCAUUCUCGAGGUUCUCGAUGCUCGUGAUCCCCUCGGCACGCGUUGUACCGACAUGGAGAGGAUGGUGAUGCAAGCUGGUCCCAAUAAGCACCUAGUGUUGCUUCUCAACAAGAUUGGUAAAGCUUUUUCUAUAGAAGCUCUCUGCUCUCGUGCUGUUGUUGUCAAUCAUUAGACUCAUAGUCUCUCUUUGUACUACAGAUCUUGUUCCUCGAGAGGCUGCUGAGAAAUGGCUUAAGUACCUUAGGGAAGAGUUUCCAGCUGUUGCCUUCAAAUGUAGCACCCAGGAACAGAGAUCAAACUUGGGUUGGAAGUCUUCUAAGGCGUCGAAACCAAGUAAUCUUUUGCAGACGAGUGAUUGUCUUGGAGCAGACACUCUUAUCAAAUUGCUGAAAAACUACUCGAGAAGUCAUGAGGUUGCUUUCUCAUAAUUUGCUUUCAAUGAGUUGCAUCAUCCAGUUUUGGAUUAAUCUUUCUCUGUUGUUUCGUGUUUCGGCAGUUGAAAAAAUCUAUUACAGUUGGUAUUAUUGGACUACCCAACGUAGGGAAGAGUAGUCUUAUCAACAGUUUGAAGAGAGCUCACGUUGUCAACGUCGGCGCCACUCCUGGACUAACCAGGUCUCUCCAAGAGGUUCACUUGGACAAAAACGUGAAGCUGCUGGAUUGUCCUGGAGUUGUGAUGCUCAAAUCUUCAGCGAAUGAUGCUUCUAUAGCUCUCCGCAAUUGUAAAAGAAUCGAGAAGUUGGAAGAUCCAGUUAGUCCAGGUAAAUUGGAAACUAUGCUAAUUAAUGAUUGAAUAUAUUCAAAUUAAUCUCAGUGAUCUAACUGUGAAACCUUGUUGGGGAAUCUAGUGAAGGAGAUACUCAAGCUUUGUUCACCACAACUGCUGGUGACUCUGUACAAGAUCCAGAGCUUCGAGGCGGUUGAUGACUUUCUUUAUAAAGUGGCUACUGUAAGGGGGAAGCUUAAGAAGGGUGGUCUUGUGGAUAUCGAAGCUGCUGCGAGGAUUGUGUUGCAUGACUGGAAUGAAGGUGAGGUCAUUAUUGUCUUUUAGUUCAGUCAUAAAACAUGGAAUCUUGAAAACUUAUUAAUUGUGUGCAGGUAAGAUUCCGUUCUAUACAAUGCCGCCAAAGAGGGACCAAGGUGAACACGCAGAGUCAAAGAUUGUGACGGAGUUGGCUAAGGAGUUCAACAUUGAUGAGGUUUACAGUGGUGAGUCCUCUUUCAUUGGGAGUUUGAAGACUGUUAGCGACUUCAACCCUGUUGAGAUUCCUUCCAGUGGUCCUCUCAGUUUCGAUGAAACUAUGAUCGAGGUUGGUUUGGUUGGUUAAUAGAUUAUCUCGUGAUUCCAUUUACUUGGUAUGGUUUAACAUUUGUUACUUAUCACAGGAUGGGUCUAAGACUCAGACCAAAGAAGAAGAGGCUGGUCUUGACAAUGAUGGUGAUGAGUCUAUGGGAGGGGAAGAGGAGGAAGAAGAAAUAGGAAAGUUGAAGUCCGAGGCGAGCAGGCAGAACAGGAAGCUAUACGCAGCUGAGAGCAUGCUUAACACAAAGAGGCAGAAAGCAGAGAAGAAGCAGAGGAAGAAGGCGAAGAAAGCAGCAGGUGGUGAGGAUCUUAUGGACGGAGAUUAUGAUUUCAAAGAAGAUUAUGGGAAGAAGAACAAAGAUACAGCCAUGGAUGAAGGAGAUGGUUUCCAAAUUGAUGCUAAAAUACCAAUGGCGGCACUUCUUGAUUUGCCUGAAGAAUGAGGGAGAGAUUAAACAAACAAUCGUUUUGUUCUUUGUGUUUAUUUAUGUGCUACUACUCAUACAUGUGUUUUGCUUCAUCAAGCGAUUUUGAUUCUACUGUACCGGUUUUUUUUUGAUCCAUCAGUUAUGUUAGUUUAUCAAAUCUAUUACAAUAAAGUUGACAACUUUCACUUUCUAUGAAGCCACCUCAAAGAAGAAGGUUCCUCCUUUGGAAACAGAAGAUACGUGUCCUCCAUUCUAUUGUAAAUUGAAGUUUGACAAAUUAUGUUCGAUCAUGACUUCAUAUGGAGGCAUGUUUCUUUUAAUUGAAUAUGUGACAUAAUUUUCAGUCCAAUAAGAUAUUACCGCUUCGUGCUCUGUCUUCGUCCCUUCUUAAUUGCGAACCUGAGAAAUAAAAAUAUCCACCUAAACCGUGAAUGUGUAAAGUUAUAGAAUUUAAUGUUGAAUUAAAUUGUCUGAGUAACUUCUUCCUCCAAUCAAAGCUACUCAUAACUUCAUCUCCUCUGUGACAUUUAAACGCUUCACCUCCAACCAAGCUCAGCAUAUAUACUCCCAUAAUCAUAAGCCUCCUCUACUUCCCAAUCAUGGGCGGAUGCAGAGAAUUUAUUUGUUGGGGGCAUAUGUAAAUUGGUCAAUGGAUUAGGACUAUAUUUGCUAAAAACAAUGGGGGCAUAUUAAAUUUAUUCAAUGAUUAACAUGAAAUUUUAAAAAGUUGUUGGGGGCAAAUGCCCCCCUCUCACACACCCCUCUCACACAACGUGGGUGAAUCAGCAGUUCUCCUCGCCUACUCUAUAGUUCUAGUCUGCAUUUCUCGGCCUGGUAUCCUACACCUCGCGUUAAUGAUAUCUAGGCGGAAGCCCCACGUACGGUUUUGAAGCCGAGAAUUCUGGCCACCUUAAGGCCAAGAAAGUAUUUUAGAGAACGCCCCGUAACACUCCUUCCGAUUCGAGAACACCUAAGCCUGUAAUUGACGGCUGGAAGGAGCUAUCCUACUCUGGCUACGCCACUGUUCCCAAUCAUCUCACUAUUAAGUAAUAACCAACUACAUACAUUGUUUACAGAGUAUAAAAUAUAGCUUCCAAGCUCCACCGCUCCGGCGAACUCAAUCUCCACAACCUCGGCGAAAUUCAAAACCGCCUCCAUGGAUACUAUUCCCGAAAACUCGACCAGAAAAAUCCCAACAAGUCCACCACCAAAGCUCCGGCGAAGUCCAACACCGGUUCCUUGGAUAAGAAAAAAGGAUUUACAGCUCCAGUGCUCUGCCAAAUAGCCGCAGCAUCUGCCAUCGUAUACAUAUUCUACCGUCUUCGCCAGUGGACUCCAACGUCUCUUCCCUCAAAGUUUGGUCACUUCGCCGGUAUAUUAGAUAUAAGAUGGUCACAAAGGCGUUCAGGUAUGCUGCAAUUUGUAAAUCGUUUAAUUGAUAUGAGCAAUAUAGAGUUUAAAUGCCAACUUUUCGAAACGAAGCGGAAUGUGCUACUUUGGCGUUUUCUGGUGGUCUUUCACGACAAGUCCAUCAAGAAAAUGACCAAACAAGGGCCAAAUGAUUGACCUGAAACCACUUGAUGUUCUCGAUAGUCUCUCUAAUACUGUUUAUCUUGACUGUUUAUUUGUUUCAAUAGUCUGAAAUCUUUUAAUGGUUUUUGCAGCUGGAUGCUCAUUUUGUGGAAUGUAGGCAGCACAUAGAUUAUGGUGAUGAAAUGUAUUAUAUACUCAAACAACAUCAAAGAAGCCAAGUAUAACAAAGGCAGUCAAGUAGUCAUCAUUGCCUUACCCGCUUAUUCCCUUCUUAACGAGCUUCUAUGCUAUAUCAAAUCCAGUUCCACCGGUUUGUUACAUAUUGAAAUACUGAAAUUCUUUCUAAUCAAAAUUUAUGUAACAUAAAAUCGCUAUUCUCUAGAUAAACGAAGAAAACAAAAGUUCCAAACCUCUUUGACGAUCAUCAUAUAUUAGUAUAGGAGGCAACUAUGCCUUAAAACAAUAUUGUUAUAUUUUUUUAAUUUUUCUCAAAAUCUAUGUGUUAACACUCUAUAUACUGAAACCUAAACUUUUUAUUGUUGCUUUAAAAUUUCUAACCAUAUUUUACAUUUGUAUUAAUGUAUUUUAAACUUUCUUUCAUGGUAUAAGAGAAUAAUUAUAAUUUUUUAUUAAUUAAUUUAGUAAAACUUCAUAAUACUCUCAAAAUCGGUGGAAUAACCACUAUAAAAUGGCUAUUUUCUUGAAAAACGGAGACAAUAAAAGCUCCAAACCUCUUUCAACAUCAUCAUAUGAUAGUGCAUGAUGCAACUAUGCAUUAAAAUAAUAUUGUCACAUUUUUUAAAAUUUUCUCAAAAUCUAUGUGUUACAAAAUAAUGAAUUUUGGUAAAUACUUUAUAUACUGAACCCUAUAAUCUUUAGUGUUUCUAACCACAUUCUACAUUUGUAUCAAUGUAUGCUAAACUCUCUUUCAUAAUACAUGAGUAUCAUUUAUUUUUUUAUAAAUUAAUUUAGUAAAAUUUCAUAGACUCCCUAACUUAGUGGACUAACCAUUAUAAAAUCGCUAUUCUCUAGAGAAAUGAAGACAACAAAGGUUUCAAACCUUUUAGACCAUCACUGUAUAUUAGUACAUGAGGCAACUAUGCAUUAAAGCAAUAUUGUUAUAUUUUUUGAAUUUUUCUCAAAAUCUAUUUGUUAACCCCUACGAAAAUAUUGAGUUUUACGUUAAACGCUAUAUAUACUAAGCUUAAAGUUUUUAGUAUUGUUUUAAAAUUUCUAAAAAAAAUUCUAAAUUUGUAUUAACGUAUGUUAAACUCUCUUUCAUGGUAAAUGAGAAUCGUUAUAAUUUUUUAUCAAUUAAUUUAGUAAAACUUCAUAAUACUCCUUAAAUCGGUGGAAUAACCACUAUAAAAUCAUUAUUUUCUUGAAAAAUGGAGACAACAAAGGCUCCAAACCUAUUUCUAUAUCAUCGUAUGUUAGUGCAGGAUGAAACUAUGCAUUGAAACAAUAUUGUCAUAUUUUUUAAAAUUUUCUCAAAAUCUAUGUCCCCUACAAAAAUAUUGAGUUUUGGUAAAUGUUUAAUAUACUAAACCAUAUAAUCUUUAGUACUAUUUCAAAAUUUCUAACCACAUUCUAUAUUUAUAUUAAUGUAUGCUAAACUCUCUUUCAUUGUACAUGAGCAUCGUUAAAUUUUUUUAUAAACUAAUUUAGUAAAAUUUCAUAUACUCCCUAAAUUAGUGGACUAACCAUUAUAAAAUCGCUAUUCUCUAGAGAAAUGAAGACAACAAUGGUUCCAAACCUCUUUGACCAUCACCAUAUAUUAGUACAGGAGACAAGUAUCCAUUAAACCAAUAUUGUUAUAUUUUUUUAUUUUUUCUCAAAAUCUAUGUGUUAACCCGACGAAAUUAUUGAGUUUUACGUGGAACGCUCUAUAUACUGAAGCCUAAACAUUUUAGUGUUGUUUUAAAAUUUCUAACCACACUCUACAUUUGUAUUAAUGUAUCUUAAACUCUAUUUCAUGGUAUAUAGGAAUCAUUUUAUUUUUUUUAUCAAUUAAUUUAGUAAAACUUCAUUAUACUCCCUAAAUCGGUGGAAUAAUCACUAUAAAGUCGUUAUUUUCUUGAAAAACAGAGACAACAAAAGCUCCAAACCUAUUUCAACAUCAUCAUAUGUUAGUGCAUGAUGCAACUAUGCAUUAAAACAAUAGUCAUAUUUUUUGAAAUUUCUCAAAAUCUAUGUGUUAACCCCUACAAAAAUAUUGAAUUUUGGUAAAUGCUUUAUAUACUAAACCAUAUAAUAUUUAGUAUUGUUUUAAAUUUUCUAACCACAUUCUAAAUUUGUAUUACUGUAUGCUAAACUCUCUUUCAUGGUACAUUCGCCUCGUUGAAUUUUUUUAUAAAUUAAUUUAGUAAAAUUUCAUAAACUCUCUAAAUUAGUGGACUAACCAUAAUAAAAUCGUUAUUCUCUAGAGAAAUGAAGACAACAAAGGUUUCAAACCUCUUUGACCAUCACCAUAUAUUAGUACAUGAGGCAACUAUGCAUUAAAGCAACAUUGUUAUACUUUUUGAAUUUUUCUCAAAAUCUAUGUGUUAACCCCCUACAAAAAUGUUGAGUUUUAUGUUAAACGCUCUAUAUACAGAAGCCUAAACAUUUUUCGUGUUUUUUUAAACCACAUUCUACAUUUGUAUUAAUGUAUUUUAAACUCUCUUUCAUGGUAUAUGAAAAUCGUUAUAAUUUUUUAUCAAUUAAUUUAAUAAAACUUCAUAAUACUCCAUAAAUCGGUGGAGCAACCACUACAAAAUCGCUAUUUAAACAAAAAUGGAGACAACAAAGGCUCUAAAUCUCUUUCAACAUCAUCAUAUAUUACUGUAGGAUGCAACUAUGCAUUAAAACAAUAUUGUCAUAUUUUUUAAAUUUUUCUCAAAAUCUAUGUGUUGUUUUACAUUAAACGCUCUAUAUACUGAAACCUAAACUUUUUAGUGUUGUUUUAAAAUUUUUAACCAUAUUCUACAUUUGUAUUAAUGUAUUUUAAACUCUGUUUCAUGGUAUAUGAGAAUUAUUAUAAUUUUUUAUUAAUUAAUUUAGUAAAACUUCAUUAUACUCCCUAAAUCGGUGGAAUAAUCACUAUAAAGUCGUUAUUUUCUUGAAAAACAGAGACAACAAAAGCUCCAAACCUAUUUCAACAUCAUCAUAUGUUAGUGCAUGAUGCAACUAUGUAAAAACAAAGACAACAAAGGCUUCAAACCUCUUUCAGCAUCAUCAUAUGUUAGUGCAUGAUGCAACUAUGCAUUAAAACAAUAUUUUCAUACUUUUUGAAAUUUUAUCAAAAUCAAUGUGUUAACACCCUUACAAAAAUAUUGAAUUUUGGUAAAUUCUUUAUAUACUGAAGCCUAUAAAUUUUAGUGAUGUUUUAAAAUUUCUAACUAGAUUCUACAUUUGUAUUAAGGUAUACUAAACUCUCUUUCAUGGUAAAUGAGCAUCGUUCAUUUUUUUUAAUAAAAUAAUAUACUAAAAUCUCAUAUACUCCCUAAAUUAGUGGACUAACCAAUAUACAAUCACUAUUCUCUAAAGAAAUGGAGACAACAAAUGAUCCAAACCUCUUUGACCAUCAUCAUAUAUUAGUACAUGAGGCAACUAUAAAUUAAAGCAAUAUUGUUAUAUUUUUUGAAAUUUUUUCAAAAUCUAUGUGUCUACGAAAAUAUUCAGUUUUACGUUAAAUGCUCUAUAUACUGAAACUUAUGUUGAGUUUUAUGUUAAACGCUCUAUAUACAGAAGCCUAAACAUUUUUCGUGUUUUUUUAAACCACAUUCUACAUUUGUAUUAAUGUAUUUUAAACUCUCUUUCAUGGUAUAUGAAAAUCGUUAUAAUUUUUUAUCAAUUAAUUUAAUAAAACUUUUUUAUGGUACACGAGAAUCGUUCAUAUUUUUAUCAUUUAAUUAGUAAAACUUCAUAAUACUAUCUAAAUCAGUGGAAUAACCACUACAAAAUCAAUAUUUACUUGAAAACCGGAGACAACAAAGGCUGUAGCCUCUUUCAACAUCAUAAUAUAUUAGUGUAGGAUGCAACUAUGCAUUAAAACAAUAUUGUCAUAUUUUUUGAAAUUUUCUCAAAAUCUAUGUGUUAACCCUUACAAAAAUAUUGAAUUUUGGUAAAUGAUUUAUAUACUGAACCAUAUAAUCUUUAGUGUUGUUUUAAAAUUUCAAACUACACUCUACAUUUGUAUUAAUGUAUUCUAAACUCUCUUUCAUGGUACACGAGCAUCGUUCAAUUUUUUAUAAAUUAAUUUAGUAAAAUUUCAUAUACUCCCUAAAUUAGGAAAUUAACCAUUAUAAAAUCACUAUUCUCUAGAGAAAUGAAGACAACAAAGGUUUCAAACCUCUUUGACCAUCACCAUAUAUUAGUACAUGAGGAAACUAUGCAUUAAAGCAAUAUUGUUAUAUUUUUUGAAUUAUUCCCAAAAUCUAUGUGUUGAGUUUUACGUUAAACGCUCAAUAUACUGAAGCACAAAGUUUUUAGUGUUGUUUUAAAUUUCUAACCACAUUCUACAUUUUUAUUAAUGUAUCUUAAAAUCUAUUUCAUAGUAUAUGGGAAUCGUUAUUAUUUUUUUAUCAAUUAAUUUAGUAAAACUUCGUAAUACUUCCUAAAUCGGUGGAAUAAUCACUAUAAAGUCAUUAUUUUCUUGAAAAAUGGAGACAACAAAGGCUCCAAACCUAUUUCAACAUCAUCAUAUGUUAGUGCAUAAUGCAACUAUGCAUUAAAACAAUAGUCAUAUUUUUUGAAAUUUUUCAAAAUCUAUGUGUUAACCUCUACAAAAAUAUUGAAUUUUUGUAAAUGCUUUAUAUACUGAACCAUAUAAUCUUUAGUAUUGUUUUAAAAUUAAUAAUCACAUUCUAAAUUUGUAUUACUGUAUGAUAAACUCUCUUUCAUGGUACAUGAGCAUCGUUAAUUUUUUUAUCAAUUAAUUUAGUAAAAUUUCAUAAACUCCCUAAAUUAGUGGACUAACCAUAAUAAAAUCGCUAUUCUCUAGAGAAAUGAAGACAACAAAGGUUUCAAACAUCUUUGACCAUCACCAUAUAUUAGUACAAGAGACAACUAUGCAUUAAAGCAACAUUGUUAUACUUUUUGAAUUUUUCUCAAAAUCUAUGUGUUAACCCCCUACAAAAAUGUUGAGUUUUACGUUAAACGCUCUAUAUACAGAAGCCUAAACAUUUUUCGUGUUUUUUUAAACCACAUUCUACAUUUGUAUUAAUGUAUUUUAAACUCUCUUUCAUGGUAUAUGAGAAUCGUUAUAAUAUUUUAUCAAUUAAUUUAAUAAAACUUCAUAAUACUCCAUAAAUCGGUGGAGCAACCACUACAAAAUCGCUAUUUAAAAAACAAAACGGAGACAACAAAGACUCUAAACCUCUUUCAACAUCAUCAUAUAUUAGUGUAGGAUGCAACUAUGCAUUAAAACAAUAUUGUCAUAUUUUUUGAAUUUUUCUCAAAAUCUAUAUGUUCUUUUACAUUAAACGCUCUAUAUACUGAAACCUAAACUUUUUAGUGUUGUUUUAAAAUUUUUAACCAUAUUCUACAUUUGUAUUAAUGUAUUUUAAACUCUCUUUCAUGGUAUAUGAGAAUCAUUAUAAUUUUUUAUUAAUUAAUUUAGUAAAACUUAGUAAUACUCCCAAAAUCGAUGGAAUAACCACUAUAAAAUGACUAUUUUUAAAAGAAACGGAGACAACAAAGGCUCCAAACCUCUUUCAACAUCAUCAUAUGUUAGUGCAUGAUGCAACUAUGCAUUAAAACAAUAUUGUCAUACUUUUUGAAAUUUUAUCAAAAUCUAUGUGUUAACACCCUUACAAAAAUAUUGAAUUUUGGUAAAUGCUUUAUAUAUUGCCUAUAAAUUUUAGUGAUGUUUUAAAAUUUCUAACUAGAUUCUACAUUUGUAUUAAUGUAUGAUAAACUCUCUUUCAUGGUAAAUGAGCAUCGUUCAUUUUUUAAAAUAAAAUAAUAUAUUAAAAUUUCAUAUACUCCCUAAAUUAGUGGACUAACCAAUAUAAAAUCGCUGUUCUCUAAAGAAAUGGAGACAACAAAGGAUCCAAACCUCUUUGGCCAUCAUCAUAUAUUAGUACAUGAGGCAACUAUACAUUAAAGCAAUAUUGUUAUAUUUGUUGAAUUUUUUUUCAAAAUCUAUGUGUCUACGAAAAUAUUCAAUUUUACGUUAAAUGCUCUAUAUACUGAAACUUAUACUUUUUAUUGUUGUUCUAAAUUUUCUAACGACAUUCUAAAUUUGUAUUAAUGUAUGUUAAACUUUUUUUAUGGUAUACGGGAAUCGUUCAAAUGUUAUCAAUUAAUUAGUAAAACUUCAUAAUACUAUCUAAAUCAGUGGAAUAACCACUACAAAAUCAAUAUUUUCUUGAAAAACGGAGAAAGUAAAGGCUGUAAACCUCUUUCAACAUCAUAAUAUAUUAGUGUAGGAUGCAACUAUGCAUUAAAACAAUAUUGUCAUACUUUUUGAAAUUUUCUCAAAAUCUAUGUGUUAACCCCUACAAAAAUGUUGAAUUUUGGUAAAUGAUUUAUAUGCUGAACCCUAUAAUCUUUAGUGUUGUUUUAAAAUUUCUAACUACAUUCUACAUUUGUAUUAAUGUAUGCUAAACUAUCUUUCAUGGUACACGAGCUUCGUUCAAUUUUUUACAAAUUAAUUUAGUAAAAUUUCAUAUACUCCCUAAAUUAGGGGAUUAACUAUUAUAAAAUCAUUAUUCUCUAGAGAAAUGAAGACAACAAAGGUUUCAAACCUCUUUGACCUUCACCAUAUAUUAGUACAGGAGGCAACUAUGCAUUAAAGCUAUAUUGUUAUAUUUUUUGAAUUAUUCCCAAAAUCUAUGUGUUGAGUUUUACGUUAAACGCUCAAUAUACUGAAACACAAAUUUUUAGUGUUGUUUUAAAUUUCUAACCACAUUCUACAUUUUGAUUAAUGUAUCUUAAACUCUAUUUCAUGGUAUAUGGAAAUUGUUAUUAUUUUUUUUAUCAAUUAAUUUAGUAAAACUUCAUAAUACUCCCUAAAUCGGUGGAAUAAUCACUAUAAAGUCGUUAUUUUCUUGAAAAACGGAGACAACAAAUGCUCUAAACCUAUUUCAACAUUAUCAUAUGUUAGUGCAUGAUGCAACUAUGCAUUAAAACAAUAGUCAUAUUUUUUGAAAUUUCUCAAAAUCUAUGUGUUAAACUCUACAAAAAUAUUGAAUUUUGGUAAAUGCUUUAUAUACUGAACCAUAUAAUAUUUAGUAUUGUUUUAAAAUUUCUAACCACAUUUUAAUUUUGUAUUACUUUAUGCUAAACUCUCUUUCAUGAUACAUGAGGAUCGUUAUAUUUUUUUAUAAAUUAAUUUAGUAAAAUUUCAUAAACUCCCUAAAUUAGUGGAUUAACCAUAAUAAAAUCGCUAUUCUCUAGAGAAAUAAAGACAACAAAGGUUUCAAACCUCUUUGACCAUCACCAUAUAUUAGUACAUGAGGCAACUAUGCAUUAAAGCAACAUUGUUAUACUUUUUGAAUUUUUCUCAAAAUCUAUGUGUUAACCCCCUACAAAAAAGUUGCGUUUUACGUUGAACGCUCUAUAUACAGAAACCUAAACAUUUUUCAUGUUUUUUUAAACCACAUUCUACAUUUGUAUUAAUGUAUGUUAAACUCUCUUUCAUGGUAUAUGAGAAUCGUUAUAAUCUUUUAUCAAUUAAUUUAAUAAAACUUCAUAAUACUCCAUAAAUCGGUGGAGCAACCACUACAAAAUCGCUAUUUUAAAAAGAAAACGGAGACAACAAAGGCUCUAAACCUCUUUCAACAUCAUCAUAUAUUAGUGUAGGAUGCAAAUAUGCAUUAAAACAAUAUUGUCAUAUUUUUAAAAAAUUUCUCAAAAUCUAUGUGUUGUUUUACAUUAAACGCUCUAUAUACUGAAACCUAAAAUUUUUAGUGUUGUUUUAAAAUUUUUAACUAUAUUCUACAUUUGUAUUAAUGUAUUUUAAACCCUAUUUCAUGGUAUAUGAGAAUCAUUAUAAUUUUUUAUUAAUUAAUUUAGUAAAACUUAGUAAUACUCUCAAAAUCGGUGGAAUAACCACUAUAAAAUGGCUAUUUUCUUUAAAAACAGAGACAACAAAGGCUUCAAACCUCUUUCAACAUCAUCAUAUGUUAGUGCAGGAUGCAACUAUGCAUUAAAACAAUAUUGUCAUACUUUUUGAAAUUUUAUCAAAAUCUAUGUGUUAACACCCUUACAAAAAUAUUGAAUUUUGGUAAAUACUUUAUAUACUGAAGACUAUAAAUUUUAGUGAUGUUUUAAAAUUUCUAACUAGAGAAAUGAAGACAAAAAAUGUUUCAAAUGUCUUUGACCAUCAUAAUUUUUUAGUACGGGAGGCAACUAUGCAUUAAAGGAAUAUUGAUAUAUUUUUUGAGUUUUUCUCAAAAUCUAUGUGUUAUGUGUUAAUCACUACAAAAAUGUUGACUUUUGGUAAAUACUUUAUAUACUGAACCGUAUAAUCUUUAGUAUUGUUUUAAAAUUUAUAACUACAUUCUACAUUUGUAUUAAUGUAUGCUUAACUCUCUUUUAUGGUACAUGAGCAUCGUUCAAUUUUUUUAUAAAUUAAUUUAGUAAAAUUUCAUAUACUCCCUAAAUUAGCGGACUAACCAUUAUAAAAUCGCUAUUUUCUAGAGAAAUGAAGACAAGAAAGGUUCCAAACCUCUUUGUACAUCCCCAUAUAUUAGUACAUGAGGCAACUAUGCAUUAAAAAAAUAUUGUUAUAUUUUCGAAUUUUUCUCAAAAUCUAUUUGUUAACCCCUACGAAAAUAUUUAAAUUUACGUUAAACGCUCUAUAUAUUGAAGCCUAAAUUUUUUAGUGUUGUUUUAAAAAAUUUAACCACAUUCUACAUUUGUAUUAAUGUAUGUUAAACUCUCUUUCAUGGUAAAUGGAAAUCAUUAUAAUUUGUUAUCAAUUAAUUUAGUGAAACUUUAUAAUACUCCCUAAAUCGGUAGAAUAACGACUAUAAAAUCGAUAUUCUCUAAAGAAAUGGAGACAACAAAGGUCUCAGACCUUUUUAACCAUCAUCAUAUUAUUAAAGCAAUAUUAUUAUAUUUUUUGAAUUUUUUUCAAAAUCUAUGUGUACGAAAAUAUUAAGUUUUACGUUAAACGCUCUAUAUACCGAAACUUAUAUUUUUUAUUCUUGUUCUAAAUUUUCUAACGACAUUCUAAAUUUGUAUUAAUGUAUGUUAAACUCUCUUUUAUUAUAUAUAGGAAUCGUUCUAAUUUUUUAUCAAUUAAUUAGUAAAACUUCAUAAUACUAUCUAAAUCAGUGGAAUAACCACUACAAAAUCGUUAGUUUCUUGAAAAACGGAGAGAACAAAGGCUCUAAACCUCUUUUAACAUCAUCAUAUAUUAGUGUAGGAUGCAACUAUGCAUUAAAACAAUAUUGUCAUAUUUUUUGAAAUUUUCUCAAAAUUUAUGUGUUAACCUCUACAAAAAUAUUGAAUUUUGGUAAAUGCUUUAUAUACGGAACCCUAUAAUCUUUGGUGUUGUUUUAAAAUUUCUAACCACAUUCUACAUUCGUUUUAAUGUAUGCUAAACUCUCUUUCAUGGUACAUGAACAUCGUUCAAAUUUUUUUAAAAUUAAUUUAGUAAAAUUUCAUAUUCUCCCUAAAUUAAUGGAAUAGCCGUUAUAAAAUCGCUAUUUUCUAGAGAAAUGGAGACAACAAAGGUUCUAAACCUCUUUGACCAUCACCAUAUAUUAGUACAUGAGGCAACUAUGCAUUAAAGCAAUAUUGUUAUAUUUUUUGAAAUUUUCUCAAAAUCUAUGUGUUAACCCUUACGAAAAUAUUGAGUUUUAUGUUAAACGCUCUAUAUACUGAAACCUAAACUUUUUCGUGAAAUACUGCAAGUCCAACACCGGUUCCUUGGAUAAGAAAAAAGGAUUUGCAGCUCCAAAAAGCCGCAGCAUCCGCCAUCGUAUACAUAUUCUAGUGUCCUCGCCAGUGGACUCCAACGUCUCUUCCCUCAAAGUUUGGUCACUUCGCCGAUAUAUUAGAUAUAUGAUGGCCACAAAGGCGUUCAGGUAUGCGUUUGUAAAUCCUUUAAUUGAUAUGAGCAAUAGAGAGUUUAAAGGCCAACUUUUCGAAACGAAGCGGAAGGUGGUACUUCGGCUUAGUUUCUUGAAAAACGGAGAGAACAAAGGCUCUAAACCUCUUUUAACAUCAUCAUAUAUUAGUGUAGGAUGCAACUAUGCAUUAAAACAAUAUUGUCAUAUUUUUUGAAAUUUUCUCAAAAUUUAUGUGUUAACCUCUACAAAAAUAUUGAAUUUUGGUAAAUGCUUUAUAUACGGAACCCUAUAAUCUUUGGUGUUGUUUUAAAAUUUCUAACCACAUUCUACAUUCGUUUUAAUGUAUGCUAAACUCUCUUUCAUGGUACAUGAACAUCGUUCAAAUUUUUUUAAAAUUAAUUUAGUAAAAUUUCAUAUUCUCCCUAAAUUAAUGGAAUAGCCGUUAUAAAAUCGCUAUUUUCUAGAGAAAUGGAGACAACAAAGGUUCUAAACCUCUUUGACCAUCACCAUAUAUUAGUACAUGAGGCAACUAUGCAUUAAAGCAAUAUUGUUAUAUUUUUUGAAAUUUUCUCAAAAUCUAUGUGUUAACCCUUACGAAAAUAUUGAGUUUUAUGUUAAACGCUCUAUAUACUGAAACCUAAACUUUUUCGUGAAAUACUGCAAGUCCAACACCGGUUCCUUGGAUAAGAAAAAAGGAUUUGCAGCUCCAAAAAGCCGCAGCAUCCGCCAUCGUAUACAUAUUCUAGUGUCCUCGCCAGUGGACUCCAACGUCUCUUCCCUCAAAGUUUGGUCACUUCGCCGAUAUAUUAGAUAUAUGAUGGCCACAAAGGCGUUCAGGUAUGCGUUUGUAAAUCCUUUAAUUGAUAUGAGCAAUAGAGAGUUUAAAGGCCAACUUUUCGAAACGAAGCGGAAGGUGGUACUUCGGCGUUUUCUGGUGGUCUUUCAAGACAAGUCCAUCAAGAAAACGAUCAAACAAGGGCCCAAUGAUUGACCUAAAACCACUUGAUGUUCUCGAGAGUCUCUCUAAUACUGUUUAUCUUGACUGUUUAUUUGUUACUAUUGUCUGAAAUCUUUUAAUGGUUUUUGCAGCUGGAUGCUCAUUUUGUGGAAUGUAUGCAGCACGGAGAUUAUGGUAAUGAAAGGUAUUAUAUACUCAAAGAAGCCAAGUAUAACAAAGGCAGUCAAGUCGUCAUCAUUGCCUUACCCGCUUAUUCCCUUCUUAACGAGCUUCUACGCUAUAUCAAAUCCAGUUCACCGGUUUGUUGCUCUGUACCUUGCAAUAUGGUUACACGAACCGUAUCUUUAGAGAUUCUCUGAAUCAUAAAUGUUGUUCGUUUUCAUGAAGAUGACAGUGUAAGGGAGAUAACUACAAAUAAUCUUCCCAAAAAACCAUCUUUGAUUGGUUUUUGAAUCCGUUUCUUAUCAUUAAAUACCAGGCUGAAGCAGAAGAGUAUCUUGCAAAGUUGGUAUUGCUGUUUGGAGAUUAAGAGAGACUUAAAAGCUCUAAUUCCCUUCAUUUGAAAGGAACUAAGAAAAGCUGAGCUUCACAACUAAGCUCGCAGGUAAGCAUAUAAUAAAAACUUCACAUGUAAAUGAAUGUCGUUUCGCUUUAACAUGUGUUCGGUUUUGUUUCAAAGGCUUCAAGGAUGCCCAAAUCAAUAUCAAGAUAUCCAACAUUCAGAAGACAUUUUAACCACAUGGAACUUUGGAAAAACUUUAAGUUAUGUUUGGGUGCCGUAGGUUGUAUGUAUAUAUGAUAUGGGUUUUAUUCGAAAUAGAUAUUUUUGCAAGUUGGUAUCUAAUGUAUGAUGGCUUUGGUGGAAAUAGGAUUCUUGCAGGUUGCUUAUUAUUGUCAUGAUACAAUCCAUUUGGCUUUGGCCGAAGAAAUCCAACGUCUUAAAGAAUAAUUUAUAAAAUAAUGUAGACGGGUACGUUGUGGGAUAUUGAAGAUGUGCCUUAGAGAAUAUGUAACUGAUAUUUUUUGUCACUUUAGCGUUAAUACUAUUUUUAAAACCAUUAAUGUUAAUAUAUUCUGUAUUUAAUAAUGUAAAUGGAUAGUUUUUUUGUUUUAGUUAAAUCUAUACCACUCCGAUAGAAAACUAAUUAAUUUUGUUUAUAAUCUUCACUUAGAAAACAUACUUCCUCUGUUUCUUAAAAAAAUGUCAUUUAGAAUUUUAUUUUCGUGCCGUUUAGUAUUUUCAAUGCGGAAUUUUAAAUAAAUUUUCAUUUUUAACUUCAUUUUUAGUGAAUUAAUUAAAAGGCAAAAAUUUUAGUGUGUGAACAAAGAAUAAAAUAGAAUUUUAAGUGAUUUCUUAAUGCGUGAAUUUUUUUUCAGUGACACUUUUAUUAAAUACAAGAAGUAUAUUUAUUGUUUACAAAGUUUUAUCUAUGAUGAAAAAAAAAAUUACUAUUUAAAUGGACAGAUAUAUAGAAAUUUCAUAUAAAUGCUAAUCUGUAAGUACAAAAGCACUUACCAAUUUCUUAACAUUUUUCAAAUGUUUUUACGAAUCUUUGACUACAAAAAUAAACAAACAAUUAGUUACGUUAUCAUAAAUAAAGACACUGUCCUUAUAGCAAAUUAAAUUUAAACUUCUGCGUAUGGCCAUACAGUGUUACGAUUUACACAUAGCUCGACAACUUCACAUUCACUGACAAUGAUCUAAUAAAAACAGAUGACACCAUCACUGGGAAAAUCAGACACCCCCACCCUCGCCGUAUAUUCAUAAAUUGAUAUGAUUAACAAAUUUUAAAUUAACACAGAGGCCGAACAUGAACGAAAACCAACCAAAGUUUUUUUUUGCUGAAACCAACCAAAGUUUCCCCUCAUCAGCCUGUAAAUUAUUACAAAGUCAACAAAAACUUCAACAAAUCCACAAAUCCACUUGAAAUCUGACCUACAACAUCAUCAUCGCAGUUAGAUCACCUCAGAUAACAAAAAAAAAAUCUUGAAUGCCCCACCAAUUUUUCCUCAAACGAAUAAAUAAUUCCAAAACAAUAACCUAACAACAUUCAAAUCUCCUAGUAGAAGCUCACUUAAAACAUUCCUCAACCAGUAGAAAGGGAAGCAUGGAAACCAAUUAUCAGAAAGCAUCUAAAGAGUUCAGUUCUAAAAACUCAUUUCCUGCAACUGCGAUUUAAAAAAAAAAUUAUUUUAAGGGUUUCAACUUCAACACCAGCUCCUACCAUCCCAGUUCAUUACUAUAAUAAAAAGUUCAAAUCAUAACUGACUAGAAACACUUAUUAAACAUAUAAUCAACAAAUUCAUUCCAACAUCCUUAAUCAAUAGCCCAUCAUAUAAUCUCAGCUCAUCAACUUCCAACACCACAGUGGAAGAACUCAAUUAUUGGACCACAACAUGAAAACUCUAACCACCACACUAAGCACAUAUAUAAGCCAUUCGUAACUCUUUACAAAACAACCUAAGUUCAGAAGUGGCAAUCGAUAAUGGAAUAAACGCGCCAUCGUUGACCUUAAAAACCUAAUAAGUAUAUAUAAUUUUGACAUUAUCCUUAUCAAUGGCCAUGUUAGCCAUUGCCACACUAGCACCUCUCCGUACUUGUCUUUAAAACACUAGCUCCUCUCUUUCUUUCAAAUAUUGCUAAAAUAUAUUCUUCAAAGGUUUAAUUUCCAAUUUUAACAAAAUUUCAAACAUUAUCGUAAAUUUUGUAGAAAGAAUAUGAAGAAACAACACACAAACACGUACAAAAAACAAUUCACCAAAACAAACCUCCCCCGAGCCCUAUUGUUUACAAACAACAUUAGGCUACAAGUUCUCAACAUCCUUAUACUAUGCAGAAUAUUAAAAAUUGGCAAAUAUCAUAGCCAAAUAUUGUUUCACUAUUAGGAAAUAUCAGAGUUUUUGCUUAGUAUUUUCUACAAUUUCAUAGUAACAUUCCCCCUUCUUUCAUCAAUCCCCUCUCUAUGACCUUAAAGACAACCCUAAGCCAAAACAUUUACUAUGUUACACCCACUAUAUUUACGAUACACACAUUACAUAAAACUUUACACUAGCAUGCCAAACACAUAAAAUACAACCAUAUUAAAAGCUCUAUAUCUAUUGACAAUGAAAAUUAUCCAACAAAAUCAUAAAUUUUAAACCAAACAAUCCGCGUGAAACGCGGACAAACCACUAGUAUCUAAAGAAGAUUGAGUUUUGAGGUGCAAAUGAAAUGUACUUUGGCCUUCCUUUUACAAUAUGUUAUAGGUUGCUGUUUCGGGUUAGUUUGGCUGGGGUCGGUCACUGAAAUAAAGUAAAAAAAUUCGGUUUGGUUUCAAAAAAUAUUGGUUCGUUUUUUUAAAAGCAAUUAUCGAAUUUUUGGGUUUUUUUGUACGGUUCGGUUUUUGGUUAAUUUUUGGUUAGUUUGGUUUCAAAACUUUUUAUUGAAGUUGGGUUUUUGGUUCGGUUCGGUUAAUUUCGGUUUAAAUUGGAUAAAAUUAAAAAAAUUUGAUUAUUUUAGUUUGGAUUUUGGUUUUUGAUUCAGAAUUUCGGUUAAGAGUACUGUUUCAAAACUUUGUUUUAGAAAACUGAACUAACCGAUUACCUAACAGAAUCAAAAGCCAAAAUAUUUUUUGGUUGCCAAACUGAACCGAACUUGCAAACCGAAGAAAAUCUAACUUUUCGGUCGGUUUAUACCCGCAGGCACUUUUCGGUCGGUUUAUACCCGCAGGCCUAAUUAUGUUAUCUGGCAGGUGAAAUUUGAAAAGAAGCCGGCUUUGCACAAAGCCAACAAGUUCACACUGAAAAAGUGUCUCAAGAGAGACUGUGAGGCGAACUACAGAUAAGAUGGCUUCAGAUAAAGUUGAUUUGGGAUCUCAGACUGAUUCUUAGUCUCCUAGAAAAAGAGAAGUUGCUGUUGUCAGGAGUUCAUAGCGAGAUUAAGGAGUUUUUUUUUCUAAUGGUAAUAAAAUUUAAAAUUAGAAGGUGACAACACCAAACGAAAAACCAACAAGUAAAAAAAAAACGAAGAAACACAACAUUAGAAACAGCCACAGAGUGCUCUACUGCUCUUCAGGUAUGCCAUGACCUGUCCCAUCUCCUUCACUUUCACGUGCCACCACCGAGUGCUCUACUGCUCUGUGGGUAGUAAGAGAUGUCAUGAGCUGCUCCUGCAGUUCAAAAGACUUCCCUAUCCGGAUCAAGCCGUACCCCAUUUCACACGAAACGGUCUGCUUCUCCGGUGGAUUCUCCAGCUCGGCCACCCUCAGUUGCAAAGCUCGCAUAUAUUUCAGCCACUUCGGGACGGAGUAACCUACCACCAUUGUUUCCGCCUCUGGAAAAACCUGGCCGCAGUCUGCUAUCGUCACAGGCUGGAGAGGGUAUCCAUUGGUGCCACCAACCAUCUGCUCAACGCGACUGAUCACAUCAACUCCAUCCACAACUUCUCCGAACACCACCUGCUCGCCGUCUAAAUCAGGGGACGCCCUCAUGAGGAUCAUGAACUGAGAUUCGUAGUAGUCGUAGGUGGUGCUUUCAUCGUUCCUAGUCAUUGAGAGGAUGAUGCCUUUGCCGUCGUGCUUCCUUUUGUAGUUGUUGUCCGCCAAAGGUUGGCCGUAGAUGGAUUCGCCUCCUCCUCCACACCCGUGAGUGGUAUCUCCUCCGUACCAAAUGAAGUUUGGGGUCAUGCCGUGGAUGAUGGUUCCCUUGUAGUGGAGCGGUAUGCCGGACUCCCCUAUGCCUUUCUCGCCUGUGCAGAGAGCGCGGAAGUUCUCCGCCGUCUUCGGGUUCGUGUCGGCGAAGAGCUCUAUCACGAUCCGACCAACGGGUCUGAAGUUGACGGCGAUUUCGAGGAAGACUCUAGGGUUUGUCGACAUCGGGAGUUGAUCACUCAUUUAGGGUUUGCUACGAUGCGAGGAGUGAUCUUUUUUUGUAUAUUUUUUUUCGAUGAAGGAGUUACUUAUCAUAAAGUUCUUUCUUGAAGACAGUAACGUACCAAACAUGUCAUUCUUUGAUUCAAAACAAAUCCAUGCAUUGAUGGACAAGUUCUGAAAAAAAAAUUGAGGAGUAAAAGAAAAUCUACAAUACUAAAAGCCGAAUAAGGAGUGCAGCGAGCGUGCCACGUCAGCUUUUAUAUUCGGACUAAUCAGAAGCGUCGAAUCCGACACGUCAGACGGGCUCGCGGCUGUUUUGUCUGAAUUGUCGUUGGGCUUCUGUGGGCUUCAUCCUUAGUGGUUGCAAAGUGGGCUUCGUCACACUUUUAUGUCGAAACAUAAAAUACAAAAGAAACUUCGGCGUCUCCGUCGAAGCUUAUCGUCUCUGUCUCUUCAUCUUUUCAUCGCCUCUACCUUUUCGUUUUCUCCGAUCGAAGAGCGAGGAAGCCGAGAGUUAAUCGAGUUUUUACACAAUCAAUACUUCUUUUAUGAUUUCGUUUCACCUCCCCCUUUUCAUCCUUCUUUAUAUAUUGAUCUUUUUAUUUCAUAUAAACCAAAACCCUAGAACCAAUCAAAACUCGAUCCAUGGCGAUGAAACGAAAUGGGAAGUCGCAUGUCUCCUCAGACUCUGAUGAACAAUUCAUGUCCUUCAAGGAUGUCUCUCUAGGUCCCCAUGAAGCUCAGCUACGCUUUCGACUCAUCCAUUUCUGGGAGGCUCGGAACCCGGUGAAGAAGACACUGAUUGGCCUCGAAAUGCUCCUUAUCGACGAACAGGUGCGUUGAUUUUUCAAUCAUAGUUUCCAGAUCGUGAGAUCUAUCUUUCCGGAAAUUUUUGUCGUUUCUUUAAAGCUACGUUUACGAUGAUUGUUUUAGACUUAUACGCUUGGUUAGUUAGUUAAAGUAGUGUUUGUUUCGAUCUGUUAUGAUUCUGAGGUUUCAUUUUAGUCUUUUUCUUAUACGAUUGGUUAAUUAGUUAAAGUGGUGUUUUUUGGUUGUCUGUUUGUUUCGAAUCUGUUAUGAUUCUGAGGUUUCAUUUUAGCCGUUUUCUUAUACGAUUGUUUUUUUUUAAAGCUAGGUUCACGAUGAUUGUUCUAGACGUUUACUUAUACGCUUGGUUAGUUAGUUAAAGUAGUGUUUGUUUCGAAUCUGUUAUGAUUCUGAGGUUUCAUUUUAGACGUUUUCUUAUACGAUUGGUUAAUUAGUUAAAGUGGUGUUUUUUUGGUUGUCUAUUCUAAUUCUGAUGUCACAUUUUCACUCCGUGAUUUGUUAUUUCAGGGAACUGUUAUUCAAGGAUUUAUCCCACCUGGACGAAUUAAGAAGUACCUGCCUGAUAUGAAACGUGGAUCGGUUUACAAACUCAUCAACUUCUACGGAUCGAAAAACAAACCGGUGUAUCGGGUUGCUGAUCAUCUCGCAACCGUGUCUUUCACAUGGAAUUCUGAAAUGUCGGCUCUUCACGAGAUUCCCAUCUCGAUUGAUGAAGACCGUUUCAGGUUUCAUUCACACGAAGAUUUUGAAACUAACUGUGAUCUCAAAGGUGACCUCUACGGUAAGCAUAAUAAUUUUAUAAAUCAUGUGUCAAUUGCAUUGCUUUGUAUAGUCUUUAGUCUAUUCUAUUGCUUGGUUAACGAAAUUUAGAUUUUUUGGUUUGUACAGUUUUGUUAGCCGUCUAACUGAGACUCUUGAUGAAAAAUGUUACAGAUGUUGUAGGCCAUAUGAAGCUGGUCGAUGGACAGACCCUGAUUGAGCGUCCCAUCAUUGACGAUGUGAAGAUCGCUACCACUCGGCACAUCAUGAUUCAUGUGCAAUCACAUGAGUAAGUGUGUACUUUUAUUUCAAGUCACCAUCUCUCUGUAGUUCGUAAAUCCCUAAGAGUUUAUUUUUGCUGUGGGCCUGUGAUGAAACUCUACCUUUGGGACCAGGCUGCAACAGACUUCAUCAAGAAAUUCAACUCCUGUGAAAACACUCCCACGGUGCUUUUGGUCACAACCGUUAAAACCAAGCGUCUCGGAGGUAAUUAUUUAACUUUUAGACUCAUGUUUUCAGUGAUUAAGUGAUAUGAGCUUAUUAACAAUCCUAUAACAUUUUCUUCUUUGUCAUUAGUUUCUAAUUUCACUCAUUCAUUUAUCUCUUUAUAUUUAUGUUUGCACUGAUAUGAAUUAACCGUUUCUAAACGUUUUCUUCUUUAUCAUUAGUUGUUAAUUUUCACUAAAUCCUUUUAAUGAUUCUUCCAUGACUGAACAGGUACCCUUGCCCUGACGUCUAUGUCCUCUACAUGGGUUUUCAUGGACAAUGAUGUCCAACCAACCAGGAAUUAUUUAACAUGGUAUGUAUCCCGUCUUCAGCAUAUGUUCUAUACAGUUUCAAGUGACGCAUACACUUACGCUUAUAUAGUAGUAAAUGACUGAAGCUCUGUUUUAUGUUUUGUUUCAGGCUGGGCUCUAACCCAGAGAUUGCUAAUCAGGUUAGCGCAGACGUCAUCACUAAGCGUGAGACACUGACUAUAGCAGAUAUAUUCUCCUACAUGAGUCAGGAAUCUGCAAAGGUAUAAGUGAAGCUAAAUUACUUAACUCAUUUUAAAACGCUAAUAUAUUUUAAUCACAUGCUUAUAAACUGUGGCAGGAUGCCUUUUUUGAGUGCACGGCUACGAUUGAUGAUGUUGUGCAUGGCUCUUCUUGGUACUAUAUUGGAUGCAGUGAGUGCCAUUCUAAGGUUACCAAAGGCACAAAUUCGUUGAUUUGUACAAACGCAAAAUGUGCAAAGGUUAACACAACUGGUGUUGCACAGUAUGAUUUCUCUCCUUAGUCUUCAUUUAUGGCGUUUGGUUUUUGUUUAUUACAUUUGUGACGUUGGUUUCUGAUUCUUUCACAACAGGUACCGUGCAAAGAUUUCUGUUUAUGACAACACUGAACAAGCUUUUUUCGUCUUACUUGGAGACGCUGGGCGUGAGUUGACUGGGAGGCAUGCAUCCGAAUUAGUUAGCAACUACUUUGAGGUAACUGAGCAUCAGUUUAUGAUCUCAAAUGUUUUUUCCUUAUUUUGUUGCUGAUCUCUCACGUGACUUAACUGACACUAUUACAAUUGAAUGUAAGGCUAAUAAAAGCGAAGGAGCUGACCAUGAGGUACCUAUCCCGGAAGCUCUGAUCAGCAUCAUCGGACAGACACAUAAGUUCUGUGUGAAAGUUACAGAUCACAACUUCUCAGGCAAUACACGAGCCGUAACUGUCACCAAGAUCCUCCCUCUAGACACACCACCACCUACGGAAGCCUCAGUUGGAAAUGACAUUGGUGCAACGUCCGAGGAAGCAAAGCAUUCUGGAAACGACGUCUGUGAACCCCCUACAAGCCGUGGAGAUCCUGCAGAUGAGGAUAGCAAGCGGACGUGUGGCAGUGCUGACCCAGGGACAGCUAAACGCCCAAGAUGUGGGAAUUAGAACUUGGGUUCAUUGGUGUUUAAGUCUACGCUUUACAGUUCAAGGAUCGUUUUUUUUUAAAAAAAUUUGCUGCAGUUUAAGUACUUUUUGGGUUUUUUUCAAAGACAAUGCAUUGUUUGUUUUCAUUUAAAGACUGUCUUUAAAUCAUUUGAGCUAUCUUUUUUAUAAUCUCUGUUGAUUCUUAUAGUCUAUGUUGUCUUUCUUUAUAUCUGAGCAAAAUCUAGAAAAUGUAUAGAGUUUUCUGUAUCUUUUUAAAUCAAUUAUACCAUGAUUACUUAUCAAAAUUCCAUAUAAUGAAUCGAGAACACCUUCAAGAUAUUUAGACUCUUUUAAUAAGAUUGAAUCAUUCACGGUUGUCUAAUAAUUAAGAUAUUUAGACUCAUGUAACUUUAGGAAAUGUGUAUCAUUCACGGGUGUGUAACAAAAUUUUCUUUUCUCUAGAGACAAAUAAACCACUUAACCUAGCUAAUCUUCAACGCCUCAUUCAAGUCCAAGUCAUAUUCUGAUCUGUUUUCAGUGGGAAAUUUUUAGUUAUUUCUAGAGCUUAUCACAGAACAAAUCUCUUUUUAACUUUUUAUGGCUUUUCCUGUUUGAAUCAAAAAGUAAACACAUUUAUCUAAUUGAUAAUAGGUUGGCUGAAAGGAUUGCUGUUUCAACGGAAUGGAUAACCCACCCAAUAAUCAACCCAUAGAAACUGCAGGUAAUUAUAUAAUCUACUGCCUCUGUUUCUCAGGGAAAACACAGAUAUGAAGGAUCGAGUCAUUUUUUGGGUUUUUUUUUAGGAGUUUAAGUUUCUUUUUGGUCAAUGAAUUGGAAUAUCAAAUCCGAUCAAACCACAAUUUAGUUUCAGUUACGGGACUUUGCCAAAAAAUUAUAUCAUUGUUUUUAUGAUAUAUUUAAUUAUAUACAUUUUUUUUUACAAUUUUAUCAUUGUUUUUUCUAUAAUCUUUAUUUCUCUAUAAAAUCUAAAACUCCACUCCUGUUUUACAAACUUUGCAAAACAAUUUAAAUAUAGUGAGAAUAAAUUAAAAAGACAUAAUCCGCACGUAUUGCGGACAAUUUAUUAUCAUUCCAUUUUGUAUAAAAUUUUACAAAGAAGAUUUAAUUUCUUUCUGAUCACGAGAUCAUAUAUGUACAAUAUUAUUUCUAUAUUUUCCUGUAAUUAUAAAAUAUCAUAGACAAUUACAUAUAUAUGAAAAAAUAAAAAACAUUUCAGUAAUACUAAUUAUACGUUUGUUUUGGUAGCAUUAAUCUGUGAGGGAAAACAUAUUUUAACUGUCCGGCUAUUAUGUUCCGUAUGACCCAAAAUGAUAAUUUUGAAAAUACAUCCCUGUGUGUAAUAAUUAUAGUUGAAAAUUCAUGUCCAUUUUUAAUAAAGCUGAUGAUUUACUAUAAUUCCAAUAAAACACACAAAAAAAUUCUAAUAGUUUUAAAUAUGCAUAUAUUUUUGUAUAAUUAUAGACCAAUUUUAUAGAAUAUACCAUUUUUAUAUUUUUAAUAAACCAGUUCCAGCAUAUAUUAUAUUUGUUCAUUUUUAAAAUAAAAACACACAAAUUCAAUUAAUAUUAUAGGAAAAAAUCUGGGCGUAGCCCGGAAAACCCUCUAGUUCAUUUUAAUGAAGUAAAAUGAGGAAAGAAAACUGCUAGACUUGGCUAUAUUUCAUACGUUAACCAGAUUAAAAGAAAGCAAAAAAAGAUGGUGCUGCCCAGGAUCGAACUGGAGACCUUUUGCGUGUAAGGCAAACGUGAUAACCACUACACCACAGCACCUUAUUGAUUGUGAUAGUGUGUUUGUAAUCCAAAUAGUAAAUGUAAGGUUAAUUGCGAAUUUAUAUUCAGGGAGGAGAACAUAAGGAAAAUUGGAAAAAAAAAAUCAGAGAAAAAAAGAAAAAAUUACUUUAUAUUCAAAUAUCUGGGCAUAGAUAAAUAUAGAAGUAUCUUAAUUGUGAAUCUAAUCUAUAUUCAGGUCGCAGGGAGAGUGUGAAAAGGGGAAAGCCGAGAAACACGUAAAAUACGAAAUGACAGUAGAGGGAGAGAUUCGCUGUCCACGGAUACGACAGCGUUUCAAGGAAUAUUCAUUUAUUUCCAGCCAGAUGAUUCUACUUUACAAUUGACCGAAUUACCCAUCACUCCGACAGUUAAUUGCGAAAUCGCAGCCUUAACUGGACCGAACCACCACGCAGCCAUCUUCCCCCUUUUGUCCGAACGUGCCGCUUAUCUCUCUCCCACGAGAGUGUGUCACACAAUCGAACAUUUUUAUUUCUUUUUAAAAAAAUUUCGAUUUUUGAAGUAUUGCAAGAAAAGAAUCGUAUAAUUCUACUUCCUUGGCUUUUGAGAUUCACAAACACGCUUACGCAAAUUCGAUAUACACCAAGGACGAAGGAGCAUACUUUAUAAAGUUGAGGAUCCAGAUCGUGGAGAGAGUUAGAGAUAGAGAGAGGAUACGAUGCCGCCGGAAACAUCGCCGGCCAAACUCGGCAGAGCUUCUUCCUCCUCCUCUUCAUCGUCAUCUUCAAGCUCAGACCGUGCUUCCGUCAAAAUCGAGGAGAUUGAAGACGGAGGUAGUAGCGGCGUCGUCGUCAUCAAUGGCUCUGAAGUAGUGGAGACCAAACUAGAGUCUGCUGUCGCCGACAACACUCUGGCUGAAUCUUCAGGUAUCUCAGUUAGCUGAUUGAACCCAAGGCAGAGUUGGAUAGGCUUAAAGUUUAUCCUUUCUCUGGAUCCAAUCCAUUUUUGGAUGGUUUUGAUUUGUUCGGGUCCUAGUCAGCGAAUAGGACCUAAAAGGAACGAUUUUUUAGACUCUAGGCGGUCAAUGGCCCAGUGGUCUCGACGGAGCUUCGGUCCGUAUUGGGACCGGCUCUCCCCUGACACUGGGGCAAAAUUUAACAUCUGGACUUCCCCAGCGUCUGUUGACUGCUACAGACACUCGCUGCUGCUAGUGUGGAACCACUUCGGUGGGACCAGGAUACACCGGGUUAUUCAAAAAAACAAAAACAAAAAUGGCCCUAGACGUCCGCACUUACGUGGUUUUGAUGAUUUGGGGUUUGUGGGUUUUUUUUUUCAGGUGGUGGGAGUAAAAGCUUUGCUAGAGUAUGGACAAUGCCUGUGGAAGGUUCUUCGAGUAGCGAUAAAGCUGAAUCAUCAUCAUCAGCGUCAAAGCCUAGGUUAGACAAAUCAAAGAGUGAGAGGCAACAGCAGAAAGAGAAAGUCGCUCACAUUCUCGCCGAGGACGCCGCUAAGAUCUUCGAUGACAGACUCUCUGCAGGGAAGAAGGUACAAAACAUUCUAUUCUUGGGUUGUAAAUCUUCUAUUUUUAGUAGUGAAAGUCUUUUUUUUUUUUUCUUUAAAUGUCUUAUUUUGUUUUUUUGGCAGCUGAAAUUGUUGAACCGUAUAGCUACGGUGAAACAUGAUGGGACUGUUGAGUUUGAAGUCCCGGCAGAUGUUAUCCCACAGCCUAUUGCUGUUGACCGUGAAGAAGAUUCCAAAAACGGUGUUUGUCCUGAUGAGUCUAUCGAUGGGGUGGAUCUUCAGUAUAUCCCUCCUAUGCAGAUUGUGAUGCUUAUCGUUGGAACGCGUGGUGAUGUUCAGCCUUUUGUUGCGAUUGCCAAACGCCUUCAGGUUUGGCACAUAUCUUAUUAAUUUUAUAUUUUGAAAUUUUUUUUGGUGUUGUAGUAUAUUUCUCUUCAUUCUUCUCUCUUUCUUGUUCAUAAUUAAUGUAGAAAUUUUAUUUGAUACAGGACUAUGGGCAUAGAGUUAGACUUGCAACUCAUGCGAAUUUCAAAGAGUUUGUUUUGACUGCUGGUUUGGAGUUUUAUCCUUUAGGUGGAGAUCCAAAAGUGCUAGCUGAAUGUAUGUAUUAACCAAACAUUCCCAUUCUUCUCUUCUUCGUUGUUACUUUAAUCUAUGUGUAGCUUUAAAGGUUAUUAUUUAUUUAUUCAUUGGUUUGCUUGCUACGUUUGUGUACAGAUAUGGUUAAGAACAAGGGGUUUUUACCAUCAGGACCUUCAGAGAUUCCGGUUCAACGAAACCAAAUGAAGGAUAUCAUAAAUUCUCUGCUUCCAGCAUGUAAAGAACCUGAUCCAGAUUCUGGUAUCUCCUUUAAAGCCGACGCAAUUAUCGCCAAUCCUCCAGCAUAUGGUUAGUCUCAGUAGCUUUUGAAUUUGAAAUGUUUUGUUUUCCCUAGCUUCCUGAGUUAUCUCAGAGAUUCACUUUGAAUGGUAACUAACUUGAGAAUCGCUGUUGCAGGACAUACACACGUGGCAGAAGCACUGAGGAUACCUAUUCACGUGUUUUUCACCAUGCCUUGGACGUAAGUCUUGUAUUGACCGAAUGAAUGAAUGUUACUUUGAACUCUCUUUCGGUUCAUAACCAUUCACUAUCUUUCUGCUAUUAAACUAAUGAUACAGGCCAACCAGUGAGUUUCCACACCCUUUGUCACGUGUCAAGCAACCAGCAGGAUACAGAGUGAGACUUGUUUUACUCAGAUAUUGCUAUAAAACUUGACUUCUUCUUUUAACAUAAUGCAAUUUUCAGCUUUCGUAUCAAAUCGUGGAUUCAUUGAUCUGGCUUGGAAUAAGGGACAUGAUAAACGACCUUAGGAAAAAGAAACUGAAGCUAAGGCCCGUUACAUAUCUAAGUGGAACACAAAGCUCUGGCUCUAAUAUUCCAUAUGGAUAUAUGUGGAGUCCUCAUCUAGUCCCAAAGCCCAAAGGUAGUGUGUCUCCUAUGAACUCACUCAUGAAUGCUUUUCUUCACUUUUGAUAAAUAGAAAAUUUAGAUUCAAACUUUUCAAUUUAUUUUCAGACUGGGGCCCACAAAUAGAUGUAGUGGGAUUCUGCUUCCUUGAUCUUGCAUCAAACUAUGAACCUCCUGCAGAACUCGUGGAAUGGCUAGAAGCUGGUGACAAACCUAUUUACAUCGGCUUUGGUAGUCUCGUGAGUUUUUUUUUUUCUUGACCUGAAUAGUAUUUUCUUAGAGGAAAUUUGAAAAUAAUGUCUCUUACCGUUGUGUGUUUAUUAGCCUGUGCAAGAACCAGAGACAAUGACUGAAAUAAUUGUGGAAGCACUUCAAAGAACCAAACAGAGAGGAAUCAUCAACAAAGGCUGGGGUGGCCUUGGAAACUGUAGGGUCUACUCGUUCUUUGACAUUUCCUUUAUUGCAUACUUGCCUGUUUGGUAUAUUCAUCAUUAUACAUGUUUGAUGUGGCUCUCAUGCAGUGAAAGAACCGAAGGACUUUGUUUACUUGUUGGAUAAUGUCCCUCAUGAUUGGUUAUUCCCAAGAUGCAAGGCAGUGGUAUGUCUACAAUAAUCUUGAACAUCCUCUUGCUUUGUCUAGUCCCUUAUUUGAUGUUUAGCAUUGUGUGUUCCCUUUUGUUUUGAAAUUUGUUGUUCUUCUGCUUUCAGGUUCAUCAUGGAGGUGCUGGAACAACGGCUGCAGGUCUUAAAGCAGCGGUAAGUUUAUUUUUGAUUGUAAGCUAUAAAAAAUUCUGCUUCAUGAGAUGGGACUUUAGUAGUUAAUAUGGAAGUGUCUUGCCUUUUUUCUUAAACAACACAGUGCCCAACUACAAUAGUGCCUUUCUUUGGAGACCAACCUUUCUGGGGAGAAAGAGUGCACGCUAGAGGAGUAGGUCCUGCACCAAUCCCAGUAGACGAAUUCUCACUCCAUAAGCUUGAAGAUGCCAUUAAUUUCAUGCUUGACGAUAAGGUAAGAUAGUGGACUUUAGUAGUUUAUAUGCACAUCCCAGGAUAUGAUCAUGGUAAUGCCAUUGUGGUUUACAAUUGAAACUGAGCAUGUGUAUAAUUGGGAACAGGUGAAGAGCAGUGCAGAGACACUAGCAAAGGCGAUGAAGGACGAGGAUGGUGUGGCUGGAGCUGUGAAGGCCUUCUUCAAACAUCUUCCGAGUAUGAGACAGAAUGUUUCGGAUCCUAUCCCUGAACCAUCGAGCUUCCUAUCGUUUAGAAGAUGCUUUGGCUGUUCGUAACUUUCUCCUCAUUGACUCUUGUGCAUUGUUGUGACCUCUUGUUGUAUGUUUGUUUGUAUUUUUCAUGUUCCUUGGUUUUGGUUCUACAACUCACUCAGGGAUAAGUUGUGAAAAAUACUUGGGAAUUUUAAUGUUUAGUUGAUGCAUAUAAAUUUUUGAUUUGUCAUAAAGUGGAAAACAAAGAUGUGUUCUAAUUUUAAAUAUCAUAUGGCAUUUUGUUUCAGUGUCUUGAGAUGCAACUUCUGUGGAAGGGUGUGCAGAAACAACUCAACUCAAUGAUUGUCUGCUUAUCAAACCAUGAUUAGUUAAUUAUUGCAUAAUUAUAAACCAUUAUUAGCAGUUAAAAAUUGUGAUUACCUUUGUAAUGACCAUAAGGUACUACAAUGCUCACAUGGGGAAAAGUCAAUACGCUGCACUAAGGAGGAAAAGUUAUCCAGACACUAUGAGACCUACUAUUUUAAUUAGCUGUCUUAUAUGAUUAUAAUUAUAAAUUUGUAUUUUUCCUUUCAUUGUCUCUAACAAAUUAUUUAUCCAAUAAGUUUGCUAGAGAAAAAGAGAGAUGAGGCAUACCAAUCACAUGACAUGAUACUGUUGUUGGCCAACUCAUUAUUGGCAUCUCACUAAACACUUACAUUUGUGCCAAGUACACAUACACAUGUGUUUCCAAUUUCUAUAAGAAUAAAAAUGCUUUUAGAAAUCUAAUCCAUUUCCCAUCCUUAUAUUGUCAUUUUAAUACAUUAUUAUAGCCUCUAUAUCAAUUGUAAUAGUAUAUUUUGAGAAAAAAACUACUAUAUGUUUGAAAGCUUUAUAACUACACACAUAUAUAUAUAUAUAUAUAUAUGAUAUGCCAGUCUUUUUUUUUUUUUGGUAAAAAUGUUAAGUCCAGUCUUUUUUUUUUUUGCUUAUGAUUCACAAUCUUUGUAAUUCAAGUAUAUACAGAACUAAAAGAAAACGUACGAGAAAGGGAAUAACAUCGGUGUAUUGAAAAACCAUAGGUAGAUAGCAAUAUAGGAUAUAAUAUAUAACAUCGCUGUAUAUAAAACUAUAUACCUAUUUUAUAUGGUUUACUAGUAUUAGAUAUUUUCUUUAUUGAUUCUAUAUUUUAUUGUUCUUUUCCAAUGAAUUUACCAAUAAGCUAAUGGUGAUAGGCUACGCAGCCUUCUUAUAUAAUAACUUCUCUCUCGUAGCCUUUCUUCUACGCUUCUUCUCUUAUUCCUUUUCCUUUCUUUUUAUCUCGAGAAAAACUCUGCUUCGAGCAGAGAGAGACAACUAGACAAAACAGAGCAAGAAGAACACAGUCAUAACAAUGGCUGUCACAAAACUUAUCCUCUUUGCUUCUGCAUUACUUGUAACAACGCUGUUUGUCGGCGUUAAUUCAUCCAGGUAUCACUUAUUAAUAACAUCAUCAUAUUUGUUUUUAUUUGUAUACAUUGACGUUUUUUUAGCUUAACUUUUUACGUAUUAUAUAGUUCAUGGAACCAAUCAACUAAGCUUAGUUACAUGAUUCAUCAACGGUGAAAAGAAUGCCAGUUUUCUCUCAUAAAUAUAAAACUUACAGAAGUUCUAUAUCAGUGGCUGAUGAGAGUUUUUAAAACAAACAUAUAGAUCAUUUUCAUCACUAUGAUCGUAGUGUAUAUUGUAUAGUUAUUCCACUCCUAAAGAACAGGAAACUGUUAAUAAUUUAUAGUAUAAUUAUAUAUCAUUGUUAUAGAUGAGACUGUAAUUGUUAGAUUGUUUAUUAUAUGCUUUCCAGGUCGAAUGAAACAUGGCAUGAACAUGCAGUUGAGAAACCAGAGGAAGUAGCUGCCAUGGUGGACAUGUGAGUUUCUCUUUAAACAAAAUAUAUUCUACGAAUACAGAUCAUUUUCUAUAUAAAUGUGACCUUUUUCUUAUUCUCAUAAUCCUCACAUGCAAGUCCAUCGUGGAUUCGUCAUAAAAGGCAAUAAUGCUAAGAGUAUCUAAAUAUUAGAAAGAAGUAUGAUAUUUUAGGUGGUGAAUGAUGUUGUGUGUAUUAUUAUUGUAGCAUUGGUCCAGGCUCGCGAACAUGUGUAAUGUUUUUCAAUAUUAAUCUUUGCAACAAUGAUUGGCCAGACCCUUGCACAUGCUCAUGCCACAUGCAGUGACGCAUACACUUCAUGACAUGUGUUGUCUUUUUAACUUGGAUUUUUCUUGAAACCGAUAGAUAAACAGUACGAAAAGCUUAUUCACAUAUAUAAGAUUUUUUUUACCUGUUUUGAUUUUCAGUACAAUAAAACUUUUGGUCAACAAAGGUUAAGCAAUAAUAAUCAUAUAUAUAUCAUUGAGAAAUAUUACAAGCUAUGAGAUCAUUUAACCCCAACCAUGGUCCAUUGACCCAAACCCUUUCUUGGGUUUCCUACUUUAUGUGGAGUUGCCUCUUGUCUUUGGGGUUUUCUGUAGAGUUUGUAGUGACUGUUUUUAUGUUCUAAUAAAAAUACAUUUCACACUGGUAAAUCGAGUUUUUUAAGCAAAUCAUACUACAUAUUUGGAAACCCAAAUGUAGAAGCUUAUGUUUGAUAUCUCAAACACAUCAAUUAAACUAUGCAUAUCAUCAAAUUAUAUUUCUCCAUUUUAUUCUAUAAAAAUCACAGUGUUAGUUUAUUGAUAAAUAUUUGGUAUUUUCUUAUAUUAAUAAAUGUAUAUGAGCUUCCAAAAGAGCAAUUAAACUAUACUGCCUUCGUUUUUAUAGAUAGAUUUUUUUUUUAUGUUUUCACACAUAUCAAAAAACAUAUUAAAAAUUUAUUAUAAAUACAUAUUUUCUUAUAAUUUUCAGUUUUCAAAAAUAUCCAGCCAAUAGCAAUUAAAUAAUCUCAAUCAAUUUGUUAAAAUUUACAAUUUAUGCAUAAAAAUAGAAAAAAAAAUCUAAGUUUGUGAAACAAUAGUUUCUAAACAUCUAUAAAACAGAUAGAAUGUCUUCUUAUUCGAAGUAUACAUUACUAAUAGUAUAAAUUAUGAGUCCAAGAUUCAAUUUCUUAAACAAAGUGCAAUUUUGAAUUUUUUUAAUAAUUUUCGGUUAAUGUUUUUCUUUUACCUUUUUACCUAAUAAAGACAUUUUUAUUUUUACAGAGAAGUAUAAAUGUCUAGUGAUUAAUUAUCCAGUAAAAAAAAAUUCAAAAAUCUAUUUCACUAAUUCCACCACUUGCUGCUGAUCGUGAUCCACACAGGAGCAUUCGCAACAGCACGGAGCGGAGACGCUUAGGCUACUUCUCCUGCGCCACCGGCAACCCAAUCGACGACUGCUGGCGCUGCGACCGCAAAUGGCAGCUCCGCCGCAAACGCCUCGCCGACUGCUCGAUCGGAUUCGGCCGCAACGCGAUCGGCGGCCGCGACGGCCGCUACUACGUCGUAACCGACCCCGGCGACGACGAUCCCGUCACCCCCAGACCGGGAACGCUCCGCCACGCCGUGAUCCAGAACGAGCCGCUCUGGAUCGUCUUCAAGCGCGACAUGGUGAUCACCUUGAAGCAGGAGCUGAUCAUGAACAGCUUCAAGACCAUCGACGGCCGCGGCGUCAACGUCCACAUCGCAAACGGCGCGUGCCUCACGAUCCAGUACGUUACCAACAUUAUUGUGCAUGGGAUUCAUAUCCAUGACUGUAAGCCCACGGGGAACGCGAUGGUGAGAAGCUCUCCGUCGCAUUACGGGUGGAGAUCGAUAGCUGACGGUGACGCGAUCUCGAUCUUUGGGUCGAGUCAUAUCUGGAUUGAUCAUAACUCGCUCUCGAAUUGCGCUGAUGGGCUUGUGGAUGCUGUUAUGAGCUCCACUGCGAUUACAGUCUCUAACAACUUCUUCACUCACCACAAUGAGGUAUUAUAUAGAAAUUCUAUGAAUUAAUAAAUUUUUAACUAUUCUUGAGUUGGAUCGGUGUAAAAUAUAAAAUAAUGAAUUUCACUGUAAAUAUAAAUUAAUAAAUAAUAUAUAUAAUGUUUAUAGAAAUAUUAAUAAUAUAUUGUAUAAUUUGUUUUUUUUUUUUUAAAUAGUGACUAUCUUUAUAUUUUAUAAACAUUUCAAAAUAAUUUAUUUGUCAGUUUACACCUCAAAAUGCAUCUAAAUUUACGGUUAAUAUUUUUAGUACCAAAUAAUCAAAUAAUAACAACGUAAAUUUGUAUCUGUAAAUUUAAUCAAUAUAUGUAUGGUAAAGUCAAAUAUUCUUUUUAUUUCUACUUAAAACAUGUAUCAAAAUCUACAAAUCUAUAAAAUAACUUUUUGUUAAUUAUUAAGUAAUAAAAUAUUAUAUUUCUAAAGUUAUUAAUUUAAAGAGUUUUUACUCUCUAUAACUAAAGUUUCACAUUUUAUAGGGUUUAUUGGAAUUGAGAAUUAGGGGUUUAGUAACGGUUGCGUGUUGUUUAGGUUAUGUUGCUGGGGCAUAGUGAUUCAUACACAAGGGACAAAGUGAUGCAAGUUACAAUUGCUUACAACCAUUUUGGUGAGGGUCUUAUCCAGAGAAUGCCAAGGUACAGAACCUCAAGCUUUGCUAGUUAUAUGGUUUGAGAAGUUUUGUAGAUUCGAAAGACGAAUGAAGAAACAUAUAUGGUGUUUGCAGGUGUAGGCAUGGAUACUUCCAUGUAGUGAACAACGACUACACACAUUGGGAGAUGUAUGCCAUUGGUGGUAGUGCUGGUCCGACUAUUAACAGUCAGGGGAAUCGAUUUCUUGCCCCAACAAACCCAUUUGCUAAGGAGGUAUGUUUCGAUCUUUUUCAAGUGUGCUGAUGCCAAACCAUAUUGAUGGUGUGUAGUCUUCCCUCUCUUUUGUCAAGAGAAAGAGGUCUUAAUGUGUCAUUGAUCUUUCUAACAAGAUUUGAUUGCAAUGAGAUUGAUGAUUGGUGAAUGUGGCAGGUGACUAAGAGGGAGUACACAGGACAAUCAAAAUGGAAGCACUGGAAUUGGAGAUCAGAAGGAGAUCUUUUCUUAAACGGAGCAUUUUUCACACGGUCUGGAGCUGGAGCUGGAGCCGGCUACGCCAGAGCUUCGAGUUUGUCGGCCAAAUCAUCCUCACUCGUAGGCACCAUGACCUCUUACUCUGGUGCUCUUAACUGCAGAGCCGGUCGCAGGUGUUAAUAGAUCAAAUAAUCAGAAAAGCCAUUUUAUUGGUCUUGAAGAAACAAGUGAUCGAUAAGUUUUUACCGAAUGUCAGCCUCUCGUUUUCUUCUUUAUUUUAACUUUUGGGGUUCAUGCGAUAUAACACUUCCCUAUUGGAUGCGGAGGCCUAGUUUAAACGCCCUCAAGUGUAAUAUAAAGCUGUAUGAAUAUUCUUCUUGUCACCUACGUUGAUAUAAAGUUGUUUCCUUAGUCGUUUAUCUUGCUUCUAGUGGUCUUAAAACACUAAAUGAAAGCUUAGUACUUGGUGGGGUUACUUCCAAAGGAAUCAAUAGUGAAAUGGUGUGAUUGGAUAAGUGAGUAAAGGAAGUGAAUGUGGUAGGGACAUGUGGAACUUAAGAAGGAAACAUGGAAGAGACAAUAAGCACAUGAGAUUGCAUAUCAUGACUCAUGAGGAGAAGGAUGCAAGUGUGCUUUAAAGAAGAAGAAGGGUCUCUUUUUUCGAGUCAUGUGAUGUUUGGUUUGGCCAACGAACAUGUUACUGUUUCUCCUCCUUUACCACUCGGUUCGUUUAAUAAGACAAAUCAAAUUAGUUCAAAUGGGGUAGUAAUGUAAUGAAGGAGAAGCAGUAACAAUGUAACAUGAUGUUGACCAAGCAUAUGACUAUUCAUUUAACCAGAGUAGUGUAUGCCACUAUACACAAUACAUGCUAAAUCGCAUUAACAAGAACGGUUAUCAAGAAUGAUAAAAAAAACGAUCAAAACUGUAUUAAAAAUUCAUAAAAUUCAUUGACUAAUGUUUUUUAUUUAUUUCAAAAACAUUUAGACAUGCAAUAAUGUUUAGUGAUGGAGCUUAUUACAGCAUCCGCAACGGGGGACGUCGAGAGUCCUUAGCGUCCUAACCUAGGCAAACUAGAUUAUAAUAAUAUUAUUUAAGCUAAAUAACAUAAGGAUCAAUCCGUAAAUAAGGAUUUACCGGACUUGAUCCUUAGAGACGUGCCAUGAUUUGAUUCGUUUGGUCGGCUUUUGCGUUUGGUAUUGGAAAAAAAAAGAAAUCAUUUUCGACGGAAGACGCAGAAAAAAAGAGAGCUCUCGACGAAAGGCGAUUCGAUCUGUCGGAACACGAAGGUAAAUCAAAGCCUUCUCAUGGAGUUUUUUUGGAUUUAGAUUAGGUUCAAUGUUGUAUUUCUCUCAAUUUAGGGUUGGGUUCUCGGUUUUCAAACGAUUUGGGGAUUUUUCCGUAUGAAGUUAGGGUUUCAAAUGAUUUGGGUUUUCAAUUGAUUUGGAGAUCUUUUCGUCUGUAGUUAGGGUUUAUACACGAUUUUGAUUUGAAACAAUUUGGGGAGCUUCUCUUUUGUUUUACCGUCGAUUAUUACAACCGAGUUACAAUCGAGUUUUACAAUCUUCUCGUUUGUUCUUAAUCUUUGGUCAUGUUUUGUUCUGACGGUUCUAACUCGAUCCCUCUGUUUUGUUCAAUCGAUGCUCGUUGCUGUUUAUAACUUCCCUUUGAUAAUCUUCUCGUUUGUUCUUAAUCCCUUUGCUCGUUGCUUUUUAUAAUCUUCUCGUUUAUAAUGUUCUUUGAUUGUUGUUGGUUAAAUGUAUUUUUCGCUUACAUAUCUUCUUCGCUUUAUCUAAUCUUCGCUUACACAAUUGCUUUCAGGUUAACGAAGCAUGGGACAAAAUUAUUCGUACAGCCAGCCUUCUUCAUCAGACGAGUUCGACAUAACUUCCCUUCUUCAAGCAGAAGCUGAACUGUACGCGGAUGAAGCUGAGAGUAGCUACAAUAUGGCAGGACCGUUUCAGUACCCACCUCAACCUGAGGCUGAUGAUGGAAUCUCAAUAAUAUGUUUGGCAUUUGGAAUGAUGUUCGGGAUAGGCGUAUACAUCAACAUUUGAAAAAUGAUUUAAUUGAACAUAUUUAGAACUAAUUUGGUGAUGAAGAUUAAUAAUUAUUGUAUCUUUAUGUUUAAUUAUUGUAUCUUUAUAUUUAAUCAUGCAAUAAAUAAAAAUUAAAUUUCACUUAAAAAAAAUUAUUUUUUUAUUCCUAAAGACUCCAAAUUGGGGAACACCAUUGGACACACUAUUUUGAUUAGAGUUCUUGACUAUUCAAACAAAAACAAAAAAAAAUACUAUAAUAGGACUCCAAGAAGGAGUCCACCAUCUCACGAUCAUCUUCUUCCCCGUCAGCAUGUAUCAAUCAGAGGAGAUAUUUAAAUCCUUAGCAUGCAAUUAUCAUGGUUCUGAAAAAGAAACUAAUGUGACUGAAACUAACAAUCGAACACAUUUGCCUCCAGACAUUUCUCCCUAACGCGAUAACCGUACAUAUAUGGUCCAGAGGACCAGAGCAGUUUACUUCAAUAUAUAAAUAAAACUGUAUGAGACAAAUCAGCAAUGACCUUUAGAUUUUCUUUUUGACUUUUCAGACCCUAAUAUGUAUAUUUGGAUGUGUAGGUUUUUGUUGGCAAAGGGUGGAUUAUGCGAUAUUGCGAUGUGUCUUAUAUAUAAACCAUUAUCCUCAACUAUUACUGCUAAUGAAAUGAGAAUUUGGUUUUUGAGCAAAACAAAGCGGUUAACUGAAGAAUGCAUGAAGACAACUUAACAGUGGUUUUUAAUAUCAAAGUCAAGUAUAUGAUGAUAGUAUUCAAAUGAUGUUGAUUUCCAUUAAAAAAAAAACAAAUCAAAUUUGUCAAAUAUCAAAAACUCAGAUGAAUGUAGAUAUGUUCUAAUCGCAGAGAUUUAUUGAUUGUUAUUGAUGAUUUUCAAUACAUUUAAUGGUCACAACAACACUGAUUCGGAUUUUCCCAGCCAACACAUUGGCCAGAUUGGUAUCCCAUCCUGAUGCAAGCAGUCGCACAGUCAAAAAUCAUUCCACACCGUCCAAUGCAUUGUCCGUCGGCUUCAACUUUUUCUACAUUUCACCCAAACCAAAAUAAAUAAAAAGAGUACUGAGAGAUAAGUAUAUAACAAGGAGUAUAAUAUUUUGCAUAGUUUGCUAUUAAAUAGAUAUCAUGAGAUCUGCAACUCAUAUACGGAAUAACCUGGAACCGUGAGAAAUAUGAUGAGUACUGAAGCAAUCAUUAGGAAGCUCAUGAAUCCAAUCUUGCAAUUCGUCUUCAUUGUAUUGUAAAUAUAUUACCUCCUUUUAUCAAUUCAGUAUAUCACCUUUGCUUUAUUGAGUAUUGAACUUGUAUAUACAAUUGAUUGGGUUGCUCUGUUCUUAUAUGUACAGAGUUGAAGGCAAGAAAGGGAAGACAAUAUUACAGGAAUAAUUACAGGGAAUAUAGACGUUGGUAGAGGAUCAAGAUUAUAUAUUUUCCAUACUCUUACAUGAUUUAUAUCUUUGAGUUUCUUUUAUUGGUUUUUAAGAUUCAAAAACAGAAUCUCAUUUUAGUUUAGCCAUCAUUAUAAGAAGAGAAAAAAAAGAAAUCAGGUUUGUAUUAGCUAUUAGUUACUAUUGGCGGAUACAAUUCAAAUAUUUUGUUCCUAAUCUAGCUCGAUAUUUGCGUUAGUCAUAUUUAUUUUAUAUAUUUUGUUAUAAAUCUGAUUUGUAUCGGUUUUUAUUGAUUUACACCUUUCUAAAUUUUGUUUCAAACAUUUUGUUCUCAAUCUAGGGAUAUUUGCGUUAUGCAUUAUAUUUAUAUACUAGUUUAAGAUCCGCGCCUUGCGCGAGAUGAAUAUUUUAUAUACACAUUAUUUUUACGUAUUAUUAUUUAUUUAACAUUUUUUAUAUAUUAUGAAACAAAUUAAUAAAUGUAUAUUGAAUAAUUGAAAAACUAUUAACUGUUAUGUGUAUAAUUAAAUUGAGACAAAUGCAUAAAUUAAAGAAAUUAUUAUUUUUUAUUUACAGUCAUACAUUUAAGCAAUUAUUUUCUCUAUUUUGUAUUUUAUGUAAUUAAAUUAAAAUAAUAUUAACAUAGAUAUAUAGUAUAUUUUCAUAUGACUAUAUAUUAAAUGAAAAUUACUAAUCAUAUGAUUUUAUGAGCAUUUUUAUUUUUUAACAAAAUUUUAAACGAUUAAUAACAAAACUUUUAGUGUGGGACUUUUAAUAUUUUUUAAUAAUUUAUAAUCAUUCUUGAAAAUUAAAUUCAAAUUUCAAAAUUAAAAUACUAAGUUCUCAAUUUAAAGUUUUAAACCAUUGAUCACAAAAUUUUCAAUGUGAAACUUUCAACAGUUUUCGUAAUUUAUAGUCGUUUUUAAUAAUUCAAAAUAUAACAAUAUACAAAAAAAACUAAAAUUUUAUUAUAUGGUUAAUAUGAUUAUUUAAUUUAUUUUGAUAAUAUAACAUUAAACAAAAAUAAUUGAGGAUAUGUAAAUUGUCAUCAAAUCUUUAUUAUUAAAAUCAUUAAUUGUCAAAUAUAUAUUCUAUUUAAUUCCGUAACUUUUAUUUAAGGAAAGAAUAAAAAAUAUUAAUUGUAAAUUGUCAAUUAAUUUAUGGUUCAUUUAAUUUUUUUGGCAUCGUUUUUUCUGUCUGGUUUAUUAUGCUAUUACAAAUGAGAAACAUUACAUAGACGAUAUUACAGCCGACAAUUCUACCUGCCUUAUGAGAAUUCACGCCUGACUGCAUCACCCUGAGUAACCCUAUGAGAUCCAUUCCUGACGGUACUCCUUGAUCCAUUUAAUUUUUUUGGCAUCGUUUAUGGUUAGUUUAAUAAAAAAUAUAUAAUAUAAGUUUAGUGGAUCAACAUAUUUCUCUAGAGAUUUUAAGAAGCAUUCUAGUGAUGACACAUGUGAUAGCUAAAAUGUUGUAAUGCUUAUCUUUUAAUAUAUAGGGGAUAUAUUUUAUAUCGGAUUUGUAUUAAUUUAUUUUGACCGACACAUUUCAAAAUAAUUAUUUCCAAUCUAAAUAGAUCUUUGAUCGCCUCAAUCUAUUAUACGUUACUUGAUAAGUUUAAAUUUAAAGAAACCUUAAUUUUAACUAGAACUUGAUGCGUGCAUCCGUGUGAAUGUUUAAUUUAAUUUGUAUUCAACAUAAACUCAUAAACCGCUGGUUUUAUAAAAAAUUCUCAUGUAUAUUUUUUUAUGUUUUGUAAUUUACAUAUAGAGUAGAAUAUAUUAUUUUAUAAUAUAUAUGUUUGAUAAUAAGUUUUUAUUUGAUGCAAUUUGAUGUAAUAUAGGAAAGGAUAUCUCCCUUUAAUACAUGCAAAAAUAUUGAAUGGUCAAUAUAUGAAUAUCGAUUUGGUUAGAUAAGUUUCAGAAUUGUAACUAAUUAAUUUUAGUGCAAAAAAAUAUAAAAAGAAAUAUUUAAUUUAUUGUACAUGCAAUCGCUGAAUGUGUAAAUAAAAGUAAGUAUUAAAAAUAUUUUUAUUCAUGUUUUCAAACACUUCUCACUUUUACUGUUAUUUAUGUUUAUAAAAAGUACCAAAAUGUACUUUAGUUUAAUAAUAUAGAUGAAUUAUGCUGAAACUUCAUGCCACUAAAAAGUAUUGGAAAAAAAAUCCAUUUUUUUCUAAAUCAUUUAAGGGUCUUAAAGUUUAAUUAUACACGCACAAUCUACUACAUACUUUUAUAGUUAUUAUAUUUCAACAAAUUGUAUGCAUUAUAUAUAUUUAAGUUAGGAUUAUUUUAUUUAUAAAAUGAACAUUUAUUUGUAUAAUAAAUAACAAGGAAGAGUUGAUAAGUUUAAAUUAUAUAUAAUAGAUAUAAUAUUUGAUAACUUUCAUCUAUUUUACACUACUUGAUAAGUUUAAAUUUAAAGAAACAUUUAGUUUAAUUAUAUUGAAACUUAAUGCCACUAAAAAAAUAUUUGCACACCCAAUUAUUUACCUAAAUCACAUAAGGGUCUUAAAGGUUAUUUACACAAGCAAUCUAUUAAAUUCUACAUACUUUUAUGUUGAUGAUUAUUAUAUACAAAAUUUAAGUUAAUAUUAUUUUUAUAAAAUGAACAUUUAUUUAUAUAAUAGAUCACAAAAUUAAGUUCUUCAUUUUCCACAAUUUUGUCAAUUUAUUGAUAUAUUUAUAUUUUGAUAAGUAAUAAAUUUUUAUUUUUAUUUCUUUUUUUUAGAAAUUACUGUAUUUUGGCUCAAUGAACUGUUUAUUUUUUUUUUCAUUUUUUUGAAAAUAUAUUUUUAUUUAUCUUUUUAUAUAAUAUGUUUUUCAGAAUAUUUCCUUUGUUUUUGCUAAAACUAUUUUUAAUAUAUACCUUAAAUUAUUUCUAGAUUCACUUUAAAAAUAUUGCUAUCACCAAGAUGUAUAUUGCUAAUUAAAUUUGUCAUGGAAGACUGUAAGCUGGUGCUUGGUGUGCUUCCUAUUUGGGCCGCCGCUGCUAGUAUGCACAUUGUUACUUGAGUUUCUUCAGAAUAUCUUUGAGAUUUUAGCUUUGAGAAGAGUAGGUGCUGAAACGGUUAACAUUUCCAAAAACACUUAAUAAAGUUCUUUAAGUGUUUGUGGUUAUUUAGAAGCGUAGAUGGCCUAGGUUUUAUCACCAUGACUAGUGCCAAAAUAAAGCGAAAUGCUAGAGAAGUAUACAUAAUGAAAUUAUGAGUUUUGUACAAGUUGAGCGCCAGGAGGGGUUAGAGAACUAUGCAUAAUGAAGUUAUGAAUUUUGACACAAGUUGAGUUUAAGGAGAGCUGCGCAUUGCCCAACUAUGAAUUGGCAGAAAAUAAUCCACCUUCCGUUUAGGUAUUGGAGGACUGACAUCAUUUUUGAGAUGAAAAAAAAAUACGAGAUAUAAUAAGAAAAAAAAACAAGCUAAAUUUCUCUCAGUAAUUAGAACUUAGAAGGUAAAGUUUAAUGAUCUACACAUGGAUGCGAUGCGAGCUCCAUAUUUAUAGUUAGAAAAGCUAAUACUACAAUUUUUUUGUAAGAAAACUUUCCUAAUAACUUGUUUAUAGUUAGAAAGCUCCUUAUUUAUAGUUAGAAGGCUCCAUAUUAAUGUUGCAUGCACGCAAUUAAAAUAAUACGCGCAACGGAUUUGAAAACACACUAGAGUUUGCUAUAUCUUGCAAGCGUUAGCAUAUGUAGGCAGUGGCUAAACUUUAACUUAAAUGUGUUCAUAAUUUCAUAUACAUAUUACAUAUCAAAGUGGGUAAAGUAAGGGUACAUUCCAAUAUUUGAAUAGGGUCCAUUGAAACUUAAAGCCUCCCUGCCUGCAUGCAUGACUUCGAGGAAGUUUUGGAUUCGGCGGGAACAAGAAACGAUAUUUAAACCUGAAUUUUGGAAAUAUGAAAUACAGAAAAAUCGUAACUUGAGGCCAAGAUGGCCCAAUAGCUGCCCAUUAGAAUGCUUACAAACAUUUCAUCAAAAAAGAAUUACUAAACGCCAGUUGUGCGUCCCUCCUCAAGACACUAGGGGAAAACCCAAUGAACCAGGAGCACAAAGUGGCUCGUUAGGUGUCUGGGUCGAUAGGGGCACCGGUUCUAGCCUGUGAGAUCCUGUUUGCUUAGAUGGUCACUAGGCGAAGUGUUGAACCUGUGUACUGUUUAGACCUUCCAAAUACGGCAAGAAUGCUUUCCCAAUCAUUAUAUAUAUGUCUACUAGACAGAACACCACUGUCUGCAACAACAACAACACCAAAAAAACACACGAGAAUAAGUUACUGGUCGCAAAGUCAAAAGUUUCUUUAAAGCUAUCUUUAAAUUCCCGAUUUGAUUUUUACCUUUCGGACAUCUGCGCUUUGGUUCCCAAAUGCUUCAAAAACCGCAUGCAUGGAGAAUGCAUGAAGCCAACUUAACUUUGGUUUUAAAUAUCAAAUUAAAGUAGUAUAUGAUAAUAUUUAAAUGAUGUUGGUUUCCAUUAAAAAAAAUCAAAUUUGUCAAAUGCCAACAACUCAGUCGCUUAUAGAUAUAUAUUCUAAUAGCAGAAAUUUAUUAAUUGUUAUAGAUGAUUAUCAGUGCAUUCAGAUAUGAAACAUUUAAUGGUCACAACAGCAUUGAUCCGGAUUUUCCCAGCCAACGCAUUGGCCAGAUUGGUAUCCCAUCCUGAUGCAAGCAGUCGGACAGUCAAAAAUCAUUCCACACAGUCCAAUGCAUUGUGGCUCGGCUUCAACUUUUUCUACAUUUCACCGAAACCAAAAUAAAGAAAAGAGUAUUGAGAUAUUAGUAUAUAAUGUGUAUAAUAUAGAGAUACAAAAUAGUAUAUAAUGUGUAUGAUACUUUGCAUAGUUUGCUAUUAAAUAGAUAUGAUGAGAUCUGCAAUCAUAUACGGAAUACCUGGAACCACGAGAAAUAUGAUGAGUACUGAAGCAAUCAUUAGGAAGCUCAUGAAUCCAAUCUUGCAAUUUAUCUUCAUGGUAUUGUAACUAUAUUACCUCUUUUUCUUAUCAAUUCAAUAUAUCACCUUUGGCCCUUUGCUUUAUUAUAUCUUUGAGUUUCUUUUAUCGAUUUUAAGAUUCAAACAGAAUCUGAUUUUAGUUUAACCAUUAUAAGAAGGAAAAGAAAAACAAAAUCAGAUUUUUAUUAGACUAUUAGUUACUAUUGGCGGAUUUUGUUCCUAAUCUAUAUGGAUAUUUGCGUUAUUCAUAUUAUUCCUAAUCUGAUUUGUAUCAAUUUUUAUCUGCACAUUUCUAAAUUUCGUUUCAAAUAUUUUGUUCUCAAUCUAGAGAUAUUUUCGUUAUUCAUUAUAUUUUUAUAUAUUAUUUUCUUUUUUUAUAUCUGCUUUGUAUUGAUUUUCAUUUGACUGACAUAUUUCAAAAUAGUUAUUUCCAAUCUAAAGAGAUCUUUGAUCCCCUCAAUCUAUUAUACAUUACUUGAUAAGUUUAAAUCUAAAGAAACCUUUAUUUCAAAAAUUUCUGUUUUAUUCAUUUUUAUACAAAAUAUGUUUUUCUGAAUAUUUUCUUUGUUUUUGCUAUAACUAUUUUUUUUUUAAUAUAUCCAUUGUAGAUAACUAUCACUAUGACUAGUAUGCACAUUGCUACUUGAGUUUCUCAGGAACUAUCUUUGAGAUUUUAGCUUUGAGAAGAGUAGAUUACCAGACGGUUAACAUUGCUACUUGAGUUUCUCAGCUACUUGAGUUCUUUAAGUGUUUGUGGUUACUUAGAAGCGUAGAUGGCCUAGGUUUUAUCACCAUGACUAGCUACAGAAUAAGGGAAGGUUUAAUGAAAUUAUGAAUUUUGCACUAGUUGAAUGCAAGGAGAGAGGUACGAACAGGCAUAGUAUAAACUGGCAAAAUAGAUACCAUUAAGAGAUUGGAGGUCUGACAAAAAAUUUGUUGACAUAAUAUUUUUGAGAUGAAAAAAAAAUACGAGGAUAAUAAGAAAAAAACAAGCUAAGUUGCUCUCAGUAAUUAGAAAGUAAAGUUUAGUGAUCUAAAAAAUAAGCUAGUUGCUCUCAGUAAUUAGAAAGUAAAGUUUAGUGAUAAAAACAAAAGCUAAAGUUGCUCUGUUCGAACAUUUUAUUUUUAUUUUUAUUUUAAAUCAAUAAUAUGGAAAUAUUGUUUUAAUGCAUAGUUGCAUCUUUUACUAACAUCGAUGAAGGUCAAAGAGGUUUGAAACCUCUGUUGUCUCUGUUUUUCUAGAGAAUAACGAUUUAAUAGUGGUUAGACCACCAAUUUAGGGAGUAUUAUGAAGUUUUACUAAAUUAAUUGACAAAAAAUUAAAUUGAUGCCAAGUACCAUAAAAAAUAGUUUAAUAUACAUUACUAUACAAAUGUAGAAUGUCUUUAGAAAUUUUAAAACAACACUAAAGAUCAUAGGCUUCAGAAUAUAGAACAUUUACCGAAAAACUCAAUACUUUCGUAGGGUUUAACACAUACAUUUUGAUAAAAAUUCAAAAUAUAAAAAUAAUGUUUUAAUGCAUAGUUGCAUCUUUCAAUAACAUAUGAUGAAAGUCAAAGAGGUUUGGAACUUUGGUUGUUUCCGUUUCUCUAGAAAAUAACGAUUUUAUAGUGGUUAGUCCAUCAAUUUAGGGAGUAUUAUGAAGUUUUACUAAAUUAAUUGACAAAAAAAUUAAAACGCUGCCCAUGUACCAUAAAAGAGAGUUGAAUAUAUAUUACAACAAAUGUAGAAUGUGUUUAUAAAUUUUAAAACAACUCUAAAGAUCAUAGGCUUCAGUAUAUAGAGCAUUCACCGAAAAAUUCAAUAUUUUCGUAGGGGUUAACACAUAGAUUUUUAGAAAAUUUCAAAAAUAUGUAAAUACUGUCUUAAUGCGUAGUUGCAUCUUUCGCUAACAUAUAUGAUGAAGGUCAAAGAGGUUUGGAACCUUCGUUGUCUCUGUUUUUCUAGAGAAUAGCGUUUUAUAGUGGUUGUUCACCAAUUUAGUGAGUAUUAUGAAGUUUUAAUAAAUUAAUUGACAAAAAAUUAAAACCUUUCGUAGGGUUUAACACAUACAUUUUGAUAAAAAUUCAAAAUAUAAAAAUAAUGUUUUAAUGCAUAGUUGCAUCUUUCAAUAACAUAUGAUGAAAGUCAAAGAGGUUUGGAACUUUGGUUGUUUCCGUUUCUCUAGAAAAUAACGAUUUUAUAGUGGUUAGUCCAUCAAUUUAGGGAGUAUUAUGAAGUUUUACUAAAUUAAUUGACAAAAAAAUUAAAACGCUGCCCAUGUACCAUAAAAGAGAGUUGAAUAUAUAUUACAACAAAUGUAGAAUGUGUUUAUAAAUUUUAAAACAACUCUAAAGAUCAUAGGCUUCAGUAUAUAGAGCAUUCACCGAAAAAUUCAAUAUUUUCGUAGGGGUUAACACAUAGAUUUUUAGAAAAUUUCAAAAAUAUGUAAAUACUGUCUUAAUGCGUAGUUGCAUCUUUCGCUAACAUAUAUGAUGAAGGUCAAAGAGGUUUGGAACCUUCGUUGUCUCUGUUUUUCUAGAGAAUAGCGUUUUAUAGUGGUUGUUCACCAAUUUAGUGAGUAUUAUGAAGUUUUAAUAAAUUAAUUGACAAAAAAUUAAAACGAUGCUCAUGUACCAUGAAAGAGAGUUUAAUAUACAUUAAUAUAAAUGUAGAAUGUGUUUAAAUUUUUUUAAAACAACACUAAAAAUCAUAUACUUUAGUAUAUAGAGUAUUUACCAAAAAUUCAAAUUUUUUGUAGGGGUUACACAUAGAUUUUGAGAAAAAAAAUUCAAAAUUAUAAAAAUAUUGUUUUAAUGCAUAGUUGCAUCCUUCACUAACAUAUGAUGAAAGUCAAAGAGGUUUACAACCUUUGUUGUCUCCGUUUUUCUAGAGAAUACCGGUUUUAUAGUGGUUAGUCCACCAAUUUAUGGAGUAUUAUGAAAUUUUACUAAAUUAAUUGACAAAAAAUUUAAAACGAUGCCCAUGUCCCAUGAAAGAGAGUUGAGUAUACAUUAAUAAAAAUGUAGAAUGUGUUUAGAAAUUUUAAAACAACACUAAAGAUCAUAGGCUUCAGUAUAUUGAGCAUUUAACAAACAAGAAAAGGGUUUAGGUAGGAUAGUGCGAUGUAGUCCAAUGGCUAAAGCUCUGCCCGCUUCUUGUAGAUUUUCAGAAAAUUUCAAAGACAUGAAAAUACUGUUUUAAUGCAUAUUUGCAUCAUUCACUAACAUAUGAUGAAGGUCAAAGAGGUUUGGAACCGUCGUUGUCUCCGUUUUUCUAGAGAAUAGCGAUUUUAUAGUGGUUACUUCACCAAUUUAGUGAGUGUUAUGAAGUUUUACUAAAUUAAUUGACAAAAACUUAAAACGAUGUCCAUGUACCAUGAAAGAGAAUUUAUAAUACAUUAAUACAAAUAUAGAAUGUGUUUAGAAAUUUUAAAACAACACUAAAGAUCAUAGGCUUCAGUAUAUAGAGCAUUUACCGAAGAAUUCAACAUUUUCGUAUGGGGGUUAACACAUAGAUUUUGAGAAAAAAAUUCAAAAAUAUGAAAAUACUGUUUUAAUGCAUAGUUGUAUCCAUCACUAACAUAUGAUGAAGUUCAAAGAGGUUUAGAACAUUUGUUGUCUCCAUUUUUCUAGAGAAUAGCGGCUUUAUAUUGGUUAGUCCACCAAUUUAGGCAGUAUUAUGAAGUUUUACUAAAUUAAUUGAUAAAAAAUUAAAACGAUGCCCAUCUCCCAUGAAAGAAACUUUAAUAUACAUUAAUACAAAUAUAGAAUGUCUUUAAAUUUUUUAAAACAACACUAAAGAUCAUAGGCUUCCGAAUAUAUAGCAUUUACCGAAAAAUUCAACAUUCAUAGAUUUUGAGAAAAAAUCAAAAAUAUGAAAAUAAUGUUUUAAUGCAUAGUUGCAUCCUUCACUAACAUAUGAUGAAGUUCAAAGAGGUUUAGAACUUUUAUUGUCUCCGUUUUUCUAGAGAAUAGCGACUUUAUAGUGGUUAGUCCAACAGUUUAGGGAGUAUUAUGAAGUUUUACUAAAUUAAUUGACAAAAACUUAAAACGAUGCCCAUGUACCAUGAAAGAGAGUUUAAUAUACGUUAAUACAAAUGUAGAAUAUGUUUAGAAAUUUUAAAACAACACUAAAGAUCAUAGCCUUCAGUAUAUAGAAUAAUUACCAAAAAAUUCAAUAUUUUGGUAGGGUUAACACAUAGAUUUUGAGAAAAUUUCAAAAAAUAUGAAAAUACUGUUUUAAUGCAUAGUUGCAUCUUUCACUUACAUAUGAUGAAGGUCAAAGAGGUUUUGAACUUUUGUUGUGUCCGUUUCUCUAGAAAAUAACGAUUUUAUAGUGGUUAGUCCACCAAUUUUGGAAGUACUAUGAAGUUUUACUAAAUUAAGUGACAAAAAAUGAAAAUGAUGCCCAUGUACCACAAAAGAGAGUUUAAUAUACAUGAAUACAAAUAUAGAGUGUGUUUAGAAAUUUUUUAAGAAAACAUUAAAGAUCAUAGGCUUCGUUAUAUAGAGCAUUUACCAAAAAUUUAAUAUUUUCGUAAGGAUAACACACAGAUUUUGAGAAAAAUUCAAAAAUAUGAAAAUACUGAUUUAAUACAUAGUUACAUCCUUCACUAAAAUAUAAUGAAGGUUAAAGAGGUUUGGAACUUUUGGAACUUUUGUUGUCUCCGUUUCUCUAGAAAAUAACGAUUUUAUAGUGGUUAGUCCACCAAUUUAGGAAGUAUUACAAAGUUUUACUAAAUUAAUUGACAAAAAAUUAAAACGAUGCCCAUGUACCAUAAAUGUGAGUCUAAUAUACAUUAAUACAAAUGAAGAAUGUGUUUAGAAAUUUUAAAACAACACUAAAGAUUAUAGGCUUCAGUAUAUAGAGCAUUUACCGAAAAAUUCAAUAUUUUCGUAGGGGUUAACACAUAGAUUUUGAGAAAAAUUCAAAAAUAUGAAAAUAUUAUUUUAAUGCAUAGUUGCAUCAUUCACUAACAUAUGAUGAAGGUCAAAGAGGUUUCUCCGUUUUUCUAGAGAAUAGCGAUUUUAUAGUGGUUAGUCCAACAAUUUAAGGAGUAUUAUGAAGUUUUACUAAAUUAAUUGACAAAAAAUUUAAACGAUGCCCAUUUACCAUAAAAGAGAGUUUAAUAUACAUUAAUACAAAUGUAGAAUAUGUUUAGAAAUUUUUAAAACAACAAUAAAGAUCAUAGGCUUCAGUAUAUAGAGCAUUUACCGAAAAGUUCAAUAUUUUCGUAGGGUUAACACAUAGAUUUUGAAAACAAUUAAAAAAAAUAGGUAUAAAUUUUUAAUAAUAUGUUGUCAUAAUUAUAAUGAUUUUACUGUAACAAAAAUAAGAAUUAUGGAAAAUUUAUUUAUAAAACAGAUACAAAGAAACUGAAUGAAUCAAAUAUAGUACUUUAAACUAUAUUUAUAUGUGUUGGUAUAUAUCUUAAUUUCUAAAUACAAGAAAUAUUGUUAUACCGUGACCAACUUUUUAGUUUGAAUUUUACCAAAAAAAACUUUUUAGUUUGAAUACAACUACCUCACAAGCCAUUCAUAAAUAUGUUUAUAUAGUAUUUCGUUAAAAUAAUAAUAUAUUCUGAUUAAUAAUUAUAAAAUUACUAUUUAUUAAUAAAUAAUUUUAAAUUAAAUUAUUUUGACCCAUGCAUAGCAUGGGAGUAACACUAGUUUUAGCUAAAUCGAAAGCAACGGUGGUGGGUCAGGAUAUAGUAAUUAAGACCGACCCAAACCGGUGGUUUGAACAUUGAAUUUGCUAAUUCGAAUUUUCUGAUUUGAACCGGGUCUUUUUUUAAGUUUACGCAAAAAAGGGGAAAGCAAACUUAAUUUAACCACAAGUGUACGAAGAAUUUUGCGUGAUACUUUCCAAAUUUGUGUUAUUUUUAUUUCCCUUAACAUUAAUGUAAAUCUGCAAAUUUUCAAAAGUUUCACAUUAUCUAGUAGCAUCUACCGCAACAAAGGAAAGAAAAUCUGUGAAUAUAUAUAUUUAAUUCGUUUCACCAAAAAAUGGAAAUUUUUUAAGUCGGUCGACCUUAUAUAAAUCUUCAUAAGUUGUCCCACUUUAUUCUUGACCCUAUCAAAAAAAAAGUUAGAAGAAGAAAGAUGGUUGCAUACAUCAAAAAUAACGUUUUUUUAGUUUUUAUGAUUGUUUUGCUUCGUGUUGUUUCAUCAUAUGCAAGACUUAGUAUGAUGGUUACAAAAGGUGAGAUCGAGUCCAUUUGCAAUAAAAAAGAUGUCGAUUCUACACUCUGUUUUGAGGUUCUAAAACCAAAUCCUACAAUUGCAAAGUUGGAUUUUACUGGUCUCGCCAACUUUAUGAUCAAUUAUACGUCUCGAAACGUUUCGGAUGUAUUGAAGGAAAUAAAGUUGUAUGAAGGCAACACGACGGAUUUACAGACAAAUAUGCGAAGAGAUGUAUAACCUUUCUCUUAUUUGGGAUGAUCAUGCUCUGAAAGCUUUGGGAGCCAAGGAUUACGACAGCGUAAACUUUAAUGUCGGAGGUACAUUGGGCAACAUGAUUACGUGCAAUGAGGAAUUAUCAACAAUGGAGCCAGUACCACAAUCCUUGAUCGCAAAGAAUACUGUUAUAAAAAAUCUGUCUAAUAUUGUUUUAACGAUUCUGGAAUGUUUCAUAAGAAAGGGAAGCAUCUAUUGUAGUCAUUAGCCCAACUAAUGAAGUUGUUUGGUUUUUAAGUUUUUUUUUCAUUCAAGUUGUUUUUCUUAGCUUGUUAUGCUUUAAUCUUUAUUUAUCUACUAGGUUAAGAAUAUUAUAUAUAAAUUAUUUUCAAGUAUUAUAUAUUUUUUACAUAUUAUGAAAUAAUAAAUAUAUAUUGAAUAAUUAAAAAUUUAGUAACUAUUACGUCUAUAAUUAAAUUGGUACAAAUACUUAAAUAAAUUUUAUUUAUCCAGACAAAUAUUUUUUGUAUUUUAUAUAUUAUAAAAUUAAGUUUAAAUGAUAUUAACAUAGAUAUAUAGUAUAUUUUUAAUAUUGAUAUCUGUUAAAAAUAUUUUAUACUCAUAUUAUUUUUGAUCGCUUAUUUCUUUAUAACAAAAUUUUUAAAUCAAUGAUAACAAUAAAAAAUUUAUGAGAUGUUUAAUAGUUUUAGUAAUUUAUAAUUUUAAGAACAUUCAAUGCAUAGUUUAAAAUCUAAAUAUUAAAUUGUCAAUAAUUGUUCAAAAUGUUUAUCAAAAAGUUUCAAAUCAAAUUCGAAAUUAAAAUACUUAUGUAUUUUAUAUGGUAUAUAAUUUAUUUUUAAAAAAUAUUAAUAUGCAUAUAUAUAAUAUUUAUUAAAUAAGACUUCCUAGUUCCUACUUAUGUAAUUUUGUAAUAAUUUUUAUCUUGUUAUAAGAUAAAUUUUAAACCAUGGAUCACAAAAAUUUCAGUGUGAGAUUUUUAACAACUUUAGUCAUUUAUAUUUGUUUUUUAAAAUUCAAAAUAUAACAUAUACGAAAAAAUCUAAAUUUUUAUUAUAUAGUUAAUGUUGUUGUUUAAUUUAUUUUAAAAUGAAUUAAAAAUGAUAGAGAAUAGACUAAUUUUUAUCAAACCUUUAUUAUUCAAAAUCAUUAAUUGUCAUAUAUACUUUAGUCACAUUAGGUAAUUCCGUGAUUUUUAUAUAAGGAAACAAUGAAGAACAUUUAUGAUUAAUUUAUGGUUUGUUUAAUAAAAAGUUUAUUAUAUAUUUAUAUGGAUCAACAUAUUUUUUUAAAGGAUUAUAAGAAUGAUUGUGGUGAUGACAUGUGGUUACAAAAAUAUGUUAUAAUGUUUCUCCUAUAUAUAGGGGAUUAGCGGUGGUUAAAAAAUUGUUAAAAGGAAAUUCAUCUUAUUAUUAAUCAUAUGCUUAUGGUUUACUCUUUUAAAUAUACUAUUCAUUAUAACAAAAAUACGUAAUUAGUACGAAUGUUGGCUCCAUAUUUUAUUAAAUAAAUUUCAUCCAUAUAGACACUAUAUAAACAAAUUAUAUGACUCUUUUUAAAAAGUCAGAAUAAUAAUAUUAAUAAUAUUACGUUAAUUUACAGAAAAAAAUGAUUGACUAAAAGAAAAAAUAAAGAAAAUUAAUUUAAAAUUAACGUAAAAUAGGGAAGAUCAAAGUGAUAAGACAGAGAAGCGUGGCAUAGAAUCAGUGGCUCAAAUCUCACAAAAAUCUCCAACUCUCCUCCUUGGAUAAGAGAAGUAUCCAGAAGCCUUUCACUUCCACUGAUCCAUCCUUCUAAUAUUCCCAAAACCAUCUCACAAAACUCACUCCUCAACUCUCUCUCUCUCUCUCUCAUCUCCAAGCCCCUCCGACCAAUGGCGGCGACAAUGGCAACAUCAGCCACAUGCAUGUCCUUAAACCCAUCUCCUCCUAAGUCCCCAAACCAAACCAAACCCAUCUCCUCAUCAAAACCCUUCAUCACCCUCCCAACACCACUAAAACCCACCGUCUCUCUCGCCGUCACAAGCACCGCCCUCGCCGGCGCCGUAUUCUCCACCCUCAGCUACUCCGAACCCGCCUUCGCUGCCCACCAGAUCGCCGAGCUCGCGGCAGCGGCCGCGGGAGGUAGCGACAACCGAGGACU
rnacentral:lncRNA from 1 species